AUCAUCGUUGAAUGUGGGCACUAUAAAUGUUAUAGUGCUUGUUAACUUAAUGUAUUUGAUCAUAUAUUAUAGUAUUGUUUACUUUAAAUUUAGACAAUGAAGUAGAUUACAAAAAAAAUAACUUAUGCUCGUCAAGUUGUAGACACCAUCGUUCAUGUCAUCAUUACUGAAUAUUGAUGUACUUAUUAAGUGUUCUCUUUUUACUUUUGGUGAAGCAAUUUUGGUAUCAUUAUUGCAGGCUGUAAUUAACUUGGGAACGUGUAGAUUCUAUAAUUUCUUUUUCUGAUUCCUUAAUUUGCUUCUUUUAAUCCUACUCUUCGAUGUUGAAGUAAUUUAUGAGUAUUUUUGCUUCAAAAUAACUAAGAUUUAUUUUUCACAGUAUACUAAUUGAUUUUAUGCAUUUGUAGGUGGGAAAAAAAUGAAGCAGUGGAUGGAUAUUGAGUGACCUUGUGCUUUUUUUUUUUUAUUUUAGGUUGGAAACUUAAUUGAGUAGUAGUUAGCACUUGUUGUUUAGAGAUUGUUGAAAAUUUAAUUUGAUACUUAUGUUAAGUCUUUUACAUAUAGUGAUGUAGUUGAAUUGUGUGAAUUUAUGUGAUCUAUUUGAGAUGUUUAUUAUAUGAAUUGUGUUGCAAGAUAUUUAAUAAUAAAUAUAUUUCAAGUUUUCUUUUCUGCUGUACGGCCAAGGCGGAUGUACGGUACAGCAGUGAUAAUGGAUUGGAGUUUUGCAACCAAGUGUUUGAUGAAUUUUGUGCAAAGGAAGGUAUUGCAAGGCAUAAAACUGUAAGAAUGACACCUCAGCAGAAUGGCUUAGCUGAGAGGAUGAAUAGGACCCUCAUGGAUAAGGUGAGGUCCAUGAUGAUUCAAGCCAAGCUACCUAAGAAUUUGUGGGCUGAGAUUCUCAACACAGCUUGCUACCUGGUGAAUUUGAGCCCCUCCACUGCCAUUGAAUUCAAGACACCUUUUGAGCUUUGGUAUGGUAAACAAGCCAGUUAUAAAGACCUUAAAGUGUUUGAUUGUCUGAGUUAUGCUCACAUAAGCCAAGGAAAACUAGCACCCAGAGCACUGAAAUGUGUGUUCAUUGGGUAUCCAGAGGGAACCAAAGGAUAUAAGCUUUGGUGUACUGAUCUCUCUCCACCCAGGUGCAUAGUAAGCAGAGAUGUCAAGUUCAAUGAAGAAGCAGCAGUGGAUAGUAUUCAAAGAAACAGUGUGAGAGCUGAUUAAGUUCAUGAGAAACAUUUUGAGGUGGAGUCACCUGGCAACCUGAAUCAUAAUGAUGAUACAGAAUCAGCUGAAAGUGCUGAUGAUAUUGGAAGACGGGAGUCACUUCAAGAAGCUGGAUCAACUCAAUCACAAGUAAUGGAUUAUUAGUUGACAAGAGAUAGAUAGAAGAGACAAAGCAAAGCACCUAAGAGGUAUGGCUAUGCUGAUCUGAUUGCUUUUGCAUUACAUUCUGCUCAUGAGAUAAAUGCUGAAGAACUACAGAAUUUCAAAGAAGCCAUUAACUGUCAGUAUUCAAAAGAAUGGAAGAAAUCUAUGGAUGAAGAAAUGACCUCACUGUACAAGAAUUGUACCUGGGAACUGGUUAAAAGACCUAAGAAUAGGAGGAUUGUUGGUUGCAAGUAGAUAUACAUAAUCAAAGAGGGUAUGACUGCAGCUGAACCAAGGAGGUUUAAGGCUAGGUUAGUUGCAAAGGGGUACACUCAGAUGGAGGGUGUUGAUUUUAAGGAAGUUUUCUCCCCUGUAGUAAGGCAUGCUUCCAUAAGAGUACUGAUGGCUAUAACAGCAACACAGAAUCUGGAGCUGGAACAGCUUGAUGUUAAGACUGCUUUUUUGCAUGGAAAUCUUCAGGAAGAAAUUUUCAUGAGUCAACCAGAAGGAUAUGAAGCUCCUGACAGAAGAGAUUAUGUAUGCUUGCUAAAGAAAUCCCUCUAUGGCCUGAAGCAAUCUCCCAAGCAAUGGUACCUCAAAUUUGAUGAGUUUAUAACCACUCAUGGAUUUCAGAGGUGUAAUUAUGAUUGCUGUGUCUACCUUAAACAGCUAAGUCAUGAAAAACAUAUCUAUCUACUGCUAUAUGUAAAUGAUAUGUUGAUUGCUUGUGAAGAAAGGUCUGAAAUAGAUGCUUUGAAGACAUUGCUUGGCACUACAUUUGACAUGAAUGAUUUAGGAAGUGUUAAAAGGAUAUUAGGAGUUGAUAUAAGAAGGAAUAGAAGUGAAGGGCUGGUAUUUUUAUCUCAAGAGAAAUACUUGAAGAAAAUACUGGAAACCUUUGAUAUGGAGGAUUCUAAACCUGUACAAGGCCCCUUAGCAGCACACUUCAAACUUUGCAACCUAUAUUGUCCAAAGUCUGAAGAAGAAAGACUUGAGAUGGCCAAUAUUCCAUAUGCAAAGGCAGUAGGAUGCCUUAUGUAUGCCAUGGUGCUGACUAGGCCUGACAUCUCACAUGCUGUGAGUGUUGUCAGCAGAUACAUGGCAUCUCCAGGCAAAAAACACUGGAAAGGGGUGAAAUGGAUACUAAGGUAUCUAAAGGGUACUUUGAAUGUUGGUCUGGUAUAUGGAAAGAACUCUGGAACAGAAGAAAUGUUGUGGGGCUAUGUAGAUUCUGACUAUGCAGGAGAUCUGGACAGAAGAAGAUCACUCACAGGAUACUUGUUUAUGUUAAAAGGCUGCCUGAUUAAUUGGAAGGCAAACUUGCAGCAUGUAGUGGCACUUUCCACAACAGAAGCAGAAUUUACAGCUGCCACUGAAGCUGCAAAGGAGGCCAUUUGGCUCAAGGGCUUAAUCACUAAGCUCGGUUUAAAACAAGAGUCUGUACCAAUUUUCUGUGACAGCUCCAGUGCACUGCAUUUGUGUAAGAAUCCAGCUCACCAUGAGAAGAUCAAACAUAUUGAUAUUAAACUUCACUUCAUAAGAAAUGAAGUCUCCAGGGGAGUUAUCAAGAUGGUUAAAAUACAUACUGAUGACAACCCCUCUGACAUGCUCACUAAGGUGGUUCCUGCAACUAAGUUCAAGAAAUGUUUGGACUUAGUUGGUAUCUGCAAAACCUGAUAUGAAUCAGUUGGUGAAUGUAUCAGUUGCAGGGUGUUUGAUUCAAGGUGGAGUAUUGUUGGCUGAAAGGUGAAUUCAAACACCUUUGCCAGCAAACGACAGCGUUUCCAGUAGUGUUCAGAAGCUUUAAGUGAUCACGUGAGAAGCACAGCCAAUCCUUGUUUCGAAACGGCAACACAUGAGUUCGUUUUGGAUAUGCUCAACUUAAGUGAAGUCACGGGUUCUUCACGUGAUGGUUAGCUGAAGCUGAGUUCGUUAAAUAACAGACUCAUAGUACACGUGUCAAGGAGCUGUGCAAUCUGGGUUGUUAGAGCUGUUACAAGACUGGUAUAUAAGCUGCAGCCUUCUGGUUUGGAGAUCAUCGUGCGUGAUAGAGAUUGAGGGAAGUCUGAGAGGAAGUGUCUUACUUGUUCUUGUUCUUAGAAUCUCUGUAACAAACUUCUUGAAUCAUUCAAUAAAGCUGUCUGAGGAAUUCACUCGUGGAUGUAAGCCAUUAAUGGCUGAACCACGUUAAAGCUUGUGCUCUGCUUUGUGUGAUUAGUUUUCUUGCUGUUUUUUGGUUUCUAAGUUUGUAAUCAAUCCAUUUUGUUACGAGUCUAAUUGGGUUUAGUUGAUUCUCUGAAGUUGAUCUAAGCUGAUAUUGCAUCUUGAUUAAUCUUGGCUGAGAAUCUUGGGAGGAUCUAGUUCUUCAUCAAAGCAAAGCUAACGAACCAGAUUCAACAGCUAAGAUUUAGCUUCAACUCCACUUCUAUUUUGUUUAGUAUAGUAUUUUUUUAAAAAAAAAUUUUUUUUAUCUAUUCCCCUUUCUUGUUCACUGGAUAAUCAAUCAAGGAGGUUAGAUACUUUUUUUUCUUUUUUUCUUUUUAAUUGUAUUUUUAGUCAAUGGAGAAUGAGAAAGAUGGAACUAUAUUCAUGUAUGUAAAAUAGAGUUAAAUUAAUUGCGGACGAUCACAAUAGAACUUGUCUUCAGUGGUAUUUUUCUGUUUCAAGUGUCAUUGUCGUUGCAGGCUACCAAUAACAAUAAUGCAUUCAAUGACAUAAAUUCUUAAAAGAAUUACGAAUUAAUUGUUAACGUUUUCUUCUUUGCUCAGGUUUAUAAGUUUGUGAUAUGAGAAGCGGGAAAGGAGCGGCAGUUUGAUCGCGUCGGUUAAGUUUCAGACGCUUAUUUAGUCAAGAAACGAUGCGUUUUGAUUUUAAUGAGAAAAGUCUAAAAUAAAUUAAAUCCUAACCUUAAACAUGCAUCAUGAUCUAAUAAAAAAAUUUAAGAAAAAUUAAAUUAAGAGAGGAUUUAAAUCGUCUACAUCUAAUAUUGAUGCUGUAAUAUAAGGGAUGACAAGUGAUCUUAUAUAAAACUUAAAAAGAAAUUAAAUUAAGAGAGGAUUUAAAAUUCCAAAUUCGUUUACAUCGAUUAAAAAUAAAACACCCCUUAGAUUACUGUAAUGUAAGGAAUGAGCCUACACCAAACAAAACUGCAAAUUGCUACUGUAAAUUAUAAAAAACUCAAGAACGCCAUUCACAUAUUUUAAUUAUUUAUGAUGUUACGAAUUUAAAUAUUUAAGUUUUAUUCUAAGUCUUAAUAUAAAUUCAACAUCAGUUAUGAGUGAAUUAAACAUUUAGAUAUUGAAAUAUCCUGUAUAGCUUUUCAAUUAUUCAAUUUAGUAUUUAUUCACACUCGCAUUCACACAAGAGGAUAAGGAACCCUCCCUUUCCCUUCCCCUUCCCCUUCCGCUUUAAUUACUACCCCAAAUAAAACCUCCCCACUGUCCGACAACUAGCUAUGCAAAAAAUAUCCUUUUAUAUUUAUGUGUAUAUAUACAGACGCGCGCGCGCGCCCCCAUUCACUCUCCAAUCUCUUUGUCUCAUCCGAUGAUGGAUUCUAACUCGACAACGUUAACAGCACCAAGUGGUCUUGAUCAGAUUCAGAAUCCCAGCGCCAGCAGCUACGUUCUUAAUGGAAAGAUCAUGUUUUGUUCUGUGAUUCUUCUCUUUGUUGUUGUUUUCAUCUUAGUCUGCUUUCACAGUUAUGCCAGUUGGCUCCGUUACCGCCACCGCCACCGUUACCGUUACCGUCACCGUCACCGCCGUGCCCAUCGGCUCUUCUUUCUCUCUAGCGGUGCUAAUACCAUGAACACAGCUCCUCCUCACGCUCAUCAAGCUUUGGACCUCUCUAUUCUCAAAAGGAUACCCGCUUUUGUCUACUCACCAAACAUAGAACACCCCAAGGAGCCGCUAGACUGCGCCGUUUGCUUGUCGGAAUUUGAAGACAACGAAAAUGGCCGUGUCUUGCCCAAGUGUAGACAUGUAUUCCAUGUUGAUUGCAUCGACAUGUGGUUUCAAUCUCACUCUAAUUGUCCACUCUGUAGAGCCCCGGUUCAACUUGACAUCACUCUGGUUCAUCCACUGGUCCAAGUCGAAGAGGUUGUCUCCGUUAUCGAACCUACUGAGAGGGACUUAGGUGUUGUUCAUCAGAUGGGUUGCUCGUCUUCUUCUUCUUCUUCAUCUUCUUUGCCGCAAUUGGAGAGUGUGUCGGUGGAGAUACCUCGAGCUCGAGAGAACUUCAGAGGUUUGGAUGAUAUGGGUUUGAGUUUAACUAAUGAACGCAACGGGUUCAAGUCUCCGGGUAAUCGGGUUCUAACUUUGAAGAGGAUUUGGAGCAUAUGACUGCUUUGCUGUUCAACUGACGAGAAAAGAUAAAAUUGAAUCCCCACAAGAGGACGGACCAUUCUGUCUGUUGCCAACAUGUGGUGGAUAUUUUGCAGAAGUGGCAAAUUAAUGCAACACCUAUGUACAAAUAAUGUAUAGCACAGAUAAGUACUAAAUACAGUUUUGAUAUCGUGCUACUGAAAUCAAUUUUUGUUUUUACCUCGUUAAAAUUGUGUCAGAGGCACUAACAACCAAUGAUUCGAGCGACACAAAUUAUUAUUGUUGGGAUGCAUCAAAGGAAUUAAAUAUUAAUUUUUUAGGGUGAAAACUAAACCAUGAUUAAUAACUAUUUAUUGAUGUAUUAAUAUUUAAUUUGACCGAACAUUCCUGUUUUGAUUCUACUAAUGUUAAGUCAAUCAUACAACAAGUGAAUAAUAUUAUAAUAUAUGUAUAUUUCUUUCUUUUAUUUUUCUUAAUACAUAAAGGAUCUAGUUAAAAGUAGGCAACAACCAAGCAUGGGUGCGUAGACCCGGAAACAUCAUGCAACAUCCAUCAUUCGGUUUCGGUUACAGGAAUUGGAAAAACAUUGAUCCCAAGAGGUAAAAUGAUAGCUUGGUUGACGAGGUAGUUUUUUUUUUUUUUUGGAAUACUGUCAUACAGGACUGUUACUGAUAUUACAUCAGGUAUUAUAAUUAAUAUUUACAAACAGAUUGUACAAUUGAGACUUUCUUCGUGGCAUGUACUCCUUUGAAGCGUUGCUCAGAUUCUUUUAAACUCUCUCAAAUAUUCGAGAGUUGUCCACUCCACUCACAUUUCGUGAAGGAUAGACGGGCUCCACUCAAUUAUUUUGAUAAUUGAGGGAGGAUUGUAAAUAACCCUCAUAAAUAGUUUUAUGGAGGAUCAAACCAUUGCACUCAACAUUGUAAGUGCAAGGGUUCUCCCACUGGACCAAAGACCCAUUAGUGGUUGACGAGGUAGUUAGCUGUGAAAUUGGUUUCCCGAUAGCUAUAUGAUAGAGAUACCUACCAAUUUCUCUUGAGGAGUCUUUUAAUUCCCCGAAUAAGAGGGGAAUAAGCAUUAGGAUGACUGUUAUUUGUGGUUAGGAUAUAAGUGAUGCACCGACUAUCCACUUCAAUUUGAAGCUAUCGAAUCCCAAUAUUCCACGCAAGUUGCAAACCUCGAAAUAAGCCCCAAAGCUCCACUUCAGUAAUAGUGCAAUGGUCAAUAUUCGUACCAAAACCGCGAACCCAUUCUCUGUAGUAAUUUCUAAUGAAACCACCUGCCCUUGCAUGGCCUGAAAUUUGUCUACACCAUCUCUGCUGUACCGUACAUCCGCCUUGGCCGUACAGCAGAUAACCAAUUUUCCGUCACUAAAGCACACUUAAUGAGAAUUUGGCAUGUAGGACUUGUGAGGAAUAACACUCCUGUUCAUCUAUUUUGGACACUCACAAGGACAAAUAUAGAAGAACGCAUCUAUCUACCUAAAGUAUGUAAAAUACAAAUUUGUAAUUUCACAAACCUGCAAAGCAGAUAAUAGUUUUCCAUGCUUCUAAAAGCAAAUGCAUACAGCAGUUUAGAAUAUGUCUAAAUUACUUGUCUACAUUAACAUAGUGCCAUUGUGUCUUCUUUAUGGGUUUGGCGCUGAAAGCCAGUUUUUGUGUGAAAACACCAUACUCAAGUCCAUGCUUACAGCAAAUAAUUAAUGAUAAACAAUCCCAAAACAUUGUACAUAUUGAAUAAUCAUCACAAACAAUUGGGUUCUUCCCAAUUUCUCUUGCUCUUCGUAACUCCAGUGAAAUUAUGUCCAAAAUUAUUGACGCAAAUCAGUAACCAAUGUAUAAAACUGAAACAUUUCGUAGGCUAAAAAGAUGAAUUUAAGCAAAAUUAUACCACAAUUGUCAACGAAACCAAAUUCAAUGCAUUACUUUAAAGUUAUUUCUUAAUACAUGAACGGAAAUGUUGUUAAAAAGAAGGAAAAAAAUCACCUGAAAUCUGCAGAUAUAAUAAUCAUCACCAUAGACAGCCCUGAAGUUAUUAAGAGGUCUCACAGCCGGGUUUCUGGGAGGAAAGGGGACGCUCAUGUUGACUAAGGCCUUGACUCUGUCCGGCCUAAACAAACAAAAAUACCAAGCAAUCAAAGCACCCCAGUCAUGACCCACUAGGAAAACUUGAUGGAUACCCAAUUUAUCAAGGAGGCCGAUGAGGUCACCGACAAGAUGGAGUGCCGUGUACGACGUGACCGAGGGUGGGGCGUCGGUGUCGCCGUAUCCACGAAGGUCUGGGGCAAUGGCACGGUAGCCGCGGGAAGAGAGAUAGAGGAGCUGGUUGCGCCAGGAAUACCAGAGUUCAGGGAAGCCGUGAAUGAAGAGAACUGCUGGGCCUGUCCCUAUUGAUGCCACGUGCAUGUUUAUGCCGUUAGUGGCUACUAUUUUAUUUUUUGUCAAUUAUAUGCCUUAAGUCUUUGUAAUCUUCCAAACUUUAAUUAUCAUAAUGUUCAUCAAGCUGAACAUCAUUAUCGCUUAAUUAUUAUAAAUUUGAUUAAGAGUAUACAAUUAACAUAACAAGACAAAAGCCCCCCACCCCAACUACAAAAAAAGACAAACAUGUGGUUGACUGACUAUGGGUAAGUUUGGUAAUGCAGUGGUCUUUAAAAAUAAUUGUUGUAUAAUCAGUUGUAAAAAUAAUCAGUUAAACGUUUCGUAAAAUUUACAAAUUCUCAAAAGUGCUGUGAAAUUUAAAAGCUAUAAUAUGUGCUUGUUUAAUCUUUUUGUUAAAUUGCUAUACGAAUAUAAAUAACUGAAUUUGACAUAAUAUUAAAUAAAAUUUAUUUACAUAUUUAUAAACGUGUAUAUAAAAUAUAUAUAUAUAUAACAAUUGAUAACUAAAAUAAAUAUUUUAUUUUCUUAAUUUUAUAUCUUUAUGUUGUUAUCUCAUUAGAAUUGGUAAUAUUAAUAAUAAUCUCUUGAAAAUUAAUUAUUUAAUUUCUUAAUUAAUAAGGAUAAUUUUGUAUAUAUAUAUGAAAUUGUAGUAAGUACAAAACUGAUUUACAAAAUCAGACUUUGAAAAGUUAUUUUUUUGCUACUUUUUAAAAUCUAAAAGAUGGGAUGAUUUUACCAAAAGUAAUCUUUUAAAAAAUUUACCAAACACCAAAAUUAAUUUUUAACUUUUCAAAAUCAAUUUUAAACUUCUUCAAAACAAUUUCAAACGACCUUAUAUGCCGAAUUUCCUAAUCCAAAUUUUAGGUGUCAUAACUUGUGGGCGGAUUUUUUAGGAAAAAAAUCCUGUGUGAGGAGGACAUUGAUUUAGAAGAAAACGGUACAAAAAUUUGAAACUCUUCUGCGUAACAUUCAUUAAUUUACCAGAUAAUGUUUUAUUGCGAAUUGCGAAACUAUGAUUAAUUAACUUAGAUAAGUAAUCUAGCCUUUUUUAUUUUUUAUUUUUUUGUAAAUAAUUUAUGAUCCCGUUUCUAUCUAAAAAUUCUCAUCAUAAUCGCAUGAUUAAAAGAUUAUACUUUAUGGAUAUUCUUAGGAAAAAAAUGAUUAGUCAUUCGCUAAAGCAUGUUGUUUUCUUAAUUAUAAACAAGCUGAAUUCAUUUAAUUAUAUCUAUUUUCUUAACAGUGAUGUGUAUGUUGCAAUAAAAAAAUAUGGUAAUUGUUUUAAAUAAAGUUUAUUAUAGCUUAUUCUAGAUUUUUAUCCUCAUCCUAUAGAAUUAGCAGGGAAAUAGAGUCUCAGUACAUGAACAUGUGCUUGAUAAUUUUUGCAGUUUUUGUUUGUUCAAAGUGUACCUUUAUAUAUAACUCCUAAAUUUUCUUUUAUUAUAUAUAUAUAUAUAUAUAUAUAUUUCUGUCUAGAAUGUUUGUGGCAUGUUUUGUACGUUGAAAUUAACAUCAUUUGGUGAAAAAGAAUUAAAAUUAUAAACGUCAACUAAAAAAAAUUAAAAAAAUGCGCGUCAGUUGCUCAAAUUAACAAAUUUAAUAAAUAAAUCCAAUUAAAGUGAAAUACCACCGAGUUGCACAUUUGGGUAGCUUGGGUAAAACAUGCAUGAUCAAACACAAACAGUUUAAGAAAGUGGAAAAAGGGAAAAAAAAGAAAAAAGAAAAAAGAAAAAAAGUAACAAAUACACCCGCAUCAAGUAAUCAUCAGCUUAUUAAGCCACCAGUGUAAGGCACCCCUGUUCGUGGUAGCCAUUGAUCUCCCAACAGGAAAUUAGACACGGUGAAAUUAGCGGCAUCAGUUGCAUUAAUCGCAUGGUAACCAGGCCACGUAACUCGAUUGGCGGUGUUAGAUCCAGGUCCCCUGUUAUCGUACUCAGCAUAAUAUAAUGUACUCAGCGCGAAAUCUCCAGUCCAAAUCUGCCAGCCUGCAGGAUUUAUCAAACCAUCCAGGAAAGAUUGCAUAACAACAGUCCUCGAGUACUCUUUCCAUGGCCUCCCAAGAUAUGUUGGUAAUGUUCGAUUGCUCGAUGCGAGUUCAUCAGCAGCUCUAAAAGUGCAAUUAUGAAUGGAUAUGCCGGUGUUUUGGUUAGGGUCUGUUCGACCUUGUGCAGUGAUGACAUUAUAUUGUCCAAUCAUUGGUAGCCGUGCAUGGAUAUUACAAUUUUGGAGAACAACAGCGGCGUUUCCAAGUAUGAAAUCAAUUGUACCAUAGAUAUCGCAUUCUCUGUAGAAUUGCCUUAGAGAAUGUGUAUAUAAUGUAUCUUGGUACCCUUCGAAGCUGCAGCUAUAAAAUGUAGACAAAUCCCCCCCACUGCGUAGUGCCACAGCCUGGAACUUGCUUGGACCGGCUGUAUUUUGAAAAGUAAUGUCCACCGCGACAAAAUUUGGUGCCACCACAGCUGCGCAUGUAAUAUUUAUGCAUUUUGCAAAUAGUGAAUGAACUCAUUAGAAUACGUAUCCAAUAUAAGUUUACACUGGGGACAGUAGUAGAACACACACACGCACGCACACAUGUAAAAUUAAUUAAUUAAUUACCAAAGGUAGCAGAAUUGAACGUAGUCCAUCCAUCUACAGCGCUUCUGUUGCCAGUGAUUAUUGUCUGAUUGAUGCCGUCUCCUAUCAUCAUUAGAUUUAUCUUGUUCUUAGCAAUGGAUACGUAUUCUUGAUAGACCCCGUCCUUGAUAUAUAUCAAGAAGUAUCCAUUGCUAACAUCAGUAUCGUUUGGAGCUGCAUUAAUAGCAUCAUUGAUGGUGGAGAACAUUCCCCUCCCGUCCUGACUCACCGUCACUAUUUUGCUCACCAACACUCCACGUCCAUCACCACUGUUGAGUUUUCUUUUGCAUACUUUCUCGUAAAUUGCCCGAUUUUCAUCAGACAUUAUCAAUGGCAAGCGUCCGUCUUUGCCGAACAGACGUUGCGUUCCUGUAGGCAUCUGCCAUAUGGUUCCUUUCCUCUUCUGACCAACCCAACCCUUUUUGAAAAGAGCAAGCAAGACGCUGCUGAGUUUUGUGUCGUCUAAGAGAGGAACAGAGAGGCCAUUCGCUGUGCUCCAGGCCGAGACAGCGGCUUGAAGGCCAUCUAAACAGGUUUGUUGGUUUGUUAAGAUCGCACUAAGCCGAGUUUGCACGUCAUCCGCUUGCUUGGCAGGCAGAAUUUGACUAGUGUUGUUCACAGUUUGGAAGGACCUUGAAAAAUAGUCCAUGUUAAGAUCAGCUAGUAAAUAGCAGUCUUCCAGAGCACGUAUAGCAGCGGUCGAUAAAGUGGACGGCCGUUUAAGAUAAUUGUCAAUCAAGUCCAAGAAUUUUCGAGAUUGCGAAAAAGCCUUGCGGAAGGAGAAUCGGCCAUAGGUGUAGAUAUCAGUGGUUUGCUUAGCAUUAGCAAGCAUAGAUUUGCAAUAGGAUUGAUUUGGGGUGUACUUGCAAAUAGUUUCUGGUGUGACGCGACUUUUUCGAGCAAAAUUUGCCGCACAAGUUGGAUUGGAAAAGAAAGGAAUGGAAAUGAGAAUAGGCAAUGUUAUUAGGAGGAGGAGAUUUGAACCCAUUUGUUUUAGAUUAAGGGUUGAAAGAGAAGAGACAAGAGUUUGAAUGAUUUGUGCCAGUAAUGGGGUGUAUUUACAGGAGGUGAAUGGUAGCUUCGCUUCAUAUUAUGAUGCAUUUCUUUAAUUUGUGUCAGAAGGAGAAAUAUGGAAGUCAACUAAUUGUAAGGCUUUAUCAAAGAACGCGUUCGUUUUGAGAUUGAUAUUCUUAUGCAUCAUGCAUGCAACCAAAUUUGGAAUAAAAGCAUUAAUCUAUUUAUCUGUCUACUGAUAGAACGUGGUAUGAACAUUUCUUGAUUUGGCAAUCUUCCUUUGCCUUCCCCAAUUAGAUUUUCAACUGUGUCAUAAGUCAUAACAUGCAAGCUUCCAAUCAUUCUCCAACUUGAGUUUGGUUUAUGAAAAUUUUUAUCCAAUCUCUUUGUUUAUUAUUAUUAUUUCUCACGUAACCAACAUUCAAAUCUUUGAACCUUAAGGAACAGAAUAGGAAAUACAACAUUAAUGAUAUUGGUUAAAAAAAAAAAUGAUGACCAUUGAUAUGUUGUCAAGACUCGAGUUAUGUUAAAGUAUGUCAUAAGAUUACAAUGUUAAGAUCUGCGACAUUAAAGUUUAUGAAUAAUUCAGAAACAUUACUCUACAUUACUCUUUCUGGAUGCAAGCGAAUAGACAUUUUUCCAAGGUCAACCUGUACCGAAUCCAUAGUUGUAUGGUACGUUUGUUCUUGUGUGCUUGUUGAUCAAGGUUCGGUUGGGAAGUGAGUUUUUAUAUGUGCCUGGAAUAAAUCCUUUAUACUGGUCACACUCAACGCACCCAAUAGACGUGGCACGCACCAACGAACCUCUCACUUAUGAUAGAUUACAUUAAUAGCAAUAAUAAUAAAAGUCAAUGUAAUGCUCGGUGAUUGGAUAAUAUAGAAUUUACUCUGUUUCAGUUAAGAAUGUCAAGCAAAAAUUGGCAGAGCCAUAGUUGAUCGGCGACAAUGACCGAACCGUAGUCGGGAGUAUUUUACAGAAUUUGAUAUUAUAGAUAAAAAUGAGCAAAUGUUUGAAAUAUUCACUAAUUACUUCGAUUUUUGUUUGAAAUUUUCUUGCUUUAAUUUAUCUUUUUCCAACAAAAACAUAAAAGGAGAGAAUCGGGUUUUAUUUAUUUUUUCAACCAUCUGCGUUAAUUACCGCCUAUUCCUCUCGACUCUCGAGUCUCUUCCAGCCAUCCAGGCCGCAUGGCAUACGCUUGAUGCUGAUGCAUGCUUUGAGUUUGAGAUGCCGAUGGCGCUAGCUGACCAGCACCGCCCACAUCAUGAGAAUUUCACAAUUUUUUUUUAAACAAAUAAAGAAUAUUAUGAAUUAAGAGAGGAUUUUAUGCGAAAUUAGCUAACUUCUACUACCUUGGCUUACUAUUACUACGACUCUGUUGGUGAAGCUAAUUAGUUGCAAACGUUCUACAAAAUAAAUAUAUAAGUAGAUUUUAGAUUUUUCUAUCCAUCCAACAAUUGUAACAUUAUUAGAAAAAUAGUCCAUAUUGGUGUGAAAACUCCACCCAAAAGGUGAUGCUGCCGUCACUUUGCCAUUUGGAGAUGAUUUCGUCAAUCUCAUCGGCUACUGAAGACAAGAAAUUAGAUGACAAUUCAGCUAGAAGAGCCGUCAUUAUAUGGUAGUGUUCCAACGUCGCUACUUCGUUUUGGUGGUUUUUGCACCACCAAACACAUCAAUGUUGACGAAAUUAGUUUGGUUAUGUAUAUCAUCAAAAUUUGAAUUCGCUGGUACCAAAUUUGCCUUUGAAUUCAUUGAUAGACGCCAUUGAAGGUACCAUCAUUGUUGUCAAAACUGUGAAUGCCAAUGUUUUAUUUUAGACCAAUGCUAGCCAUCACAUCUAAGUCCGAAUUUGAGUCCUAAUUGAUGUGGCAUUCAUCCAUUAGAUGGUGAUUAACUAAUUUUACAAGUUAUUAAAUCCAUCAUUUAAUACAACAUAUUUCCUAAUAAUCUUCACUUUGACGAGUUUUUAAAUUAUGUCACAAAACAUGAUCCACGUGUAUCCACACAAUUGUGUCGUCUCCACCUUCUUUACUCUACCUAAAACUACACUCACAUAGUGUUUGUUAGAAUCACUUUAUGAUGGGUAAAAGGAGGCACACCACGGACUGGCUUUAUCAGUAUUUCCAUCUAAUGAUUUAGAACUACUAGCCAAACUUGCUCUAUUCCGACAAUAUUCGUUAAGGUGCCCAGAUUGUCUACACACUUCCAUGGGUUUCCACCAAUAGGAUCAUGGUUUAUAUCACCUUGCUUUUCUUGUGUAGCUAGAUUGAAUCAAUAUAUCCUUGACUUGAACUUACCAUAAGUCAAAAUUAAUUCUUCCAUCAAAAUUUUCAACUUCAAUCCUCACAAGAUUUGAAAAUUUAUACGCAUAUAUUAUUGCUUUACAUAACAACCUUUAGUUCUAAUACCACUUAAUAGAAAAUUUUAAUCCCACUCAAGAUCGUGCAAGCAAAAAUAUCAAACAAAUAAUAAAUGAAAAAGAGAUGGAGAAUAUAGUCAAUCACGUAAUAUAAGAAUUUACAUGGAAAAUUCGUAUAUAAAAAAAAACAAGGCCGCCAAGGACAACGAGAGAAAAAUUUACUAUGUAAAAAAUUAUGACAAUCAUUUUAGUAUUUUUUUUCCCACACUCAAAACCCUAAUAACACCUAAUCUCUUAAUAGACCUAUCAUUUCUCUCACACUAAAUAUUGUCUACUUGCAAAGAACUUAAUAUUUUUUUCUCACACUCAAAACCCUAAUAACACAUAAUCUCUUAAUAGACCUAUCAUUUCUCUUACACUAAAUAUUGUCCACUUGUAAAGAAUUGAUUGAUGUGUUAUACCAACAAGACGCGAAAUUAGUUAUUCCUUAAAUAGAAAUCCUACUAAAUAAGAAAAUAUUAUAGGAAAUCCUAAUUGAAAAAUAAGACAUAUUUAUUAACAAAAUAGUUGUGAAAGAAAGAAAAGAAAUUAAAGAAAGAAAAUUUAAUUUCUUAUUGCGAGUUUUCUCUCUAAACAUGUGCCAUGUUUUGUUCAGGACUACAGGAUCAGUGCGUGUGAUAUAGUUUAUACAAAAUAAUACUAUUUGGUAAAAAAGAAUUGAUACUGGACGCCAUCAAUUAGGAUAAUAAUAAAAGUUAGAAAAAUAACAAUCAUUUGCUGGAAUUAACGAAUAAAUAAAUCCAUUUGAAGUGAAUACCAGGCUGAACAUUUGGGUAGAUUGGGUACAACAUGCAUCAUCAAAACAAUUGAAAAAGGGGGCAAAAAAAAAAAAAGCAUCACGUGAUAAUUAGCUUAUUAGGCCCCCUGUGUAAGGCACCCCAGUUUGUGGUAGCCAUACAUCACCCAGCAGAAAAUUAGAGACAGUGAAAUUAGCGGCAUCGGUUGCAUUAAUCACAUGGUAACCAGGCCACGUAACUCGAUUGGCACUGUUAGAUCCAGGUCCCCUGUUGUCGUACUCAGCAUAAUAUAAUGUACUCAGCGCGAAAUCUCCAGUCCAAAUCUGCCAGCCUGAAGGAUUUAUCAAACUAUCCAUGAAAGACUGCAUAAUAACAGUCCUCGAGUACUCUUUCCAUGGCCUUCCUAGGUAUGUCUGUACGGUUUGAUUGCUUAAAGCAAGUUCAUCGGCAGCUCUAAAAGUGCAAUUAUGAAUGGAUAUGCCAGUGUUUUGGUUAGGGUCUGUCCGACCCUGUGCGGUGAUAACAUUAUAUUGUCCACUCAUAGGUAGCCGCAGAUAGAUAUUGCAGUUUUGGAGAACAACGGCAGCGUUUCCGAAUAUGAAAUCGAUUGUACCAUAGAUAUCGCAUUCUCUGUAGAAUUGCCUUUGAGAGUGUGUAUAUAAACUAUCUUGGUACCCUUCAAAGCUGCAGCUAUAAAAUGUAGACAAAUCUGCCCCGCUGCGGAGAGCGACAGCCUGGUGCUUGCUUGGCCCAGCUGUGUUCCGGAAACUUAUGUCCACGGCAACAAAAUUUGGUGCCACAACAGCUGCAAUUAUCAUAAUGUACAUAUAUAUUCAUUAAGUAGAAUAGUAAUAAGUUGAUCAUUAAUAUUUGCGGCAGUACUAGAACACACACAUAUAUAUAGAAGCUAGCUUUACGCCAUAUAUAUAUAUAGAUAGAUAGAUAUAGAUAUAGAUAUAGAUAGAUAGAUAGAUAGCUUAAUUACCAAAAGUAGCAGAAUUGAAAGUAGUCCAUCCAUCAACAAAGUUUCUGUCACCGGUGAUUAUUGUCUUACCAAUGCCGUCUCCAAUCAUCAUCAAAAUUUUCUUGUUCUUAGCAAUGGAGAUGUAUUCUUGAUAGACACCCUCCUUGAUAUAAAUCAAGAAGUAUCCAUCGGUAACAUCUGUAUUGUUUGGAGCUGCCGUAAUAGCAUCAUUGAUGGUCGAGAACUUUGCUUUCCCAUCCUGACUCACCGUCACUAUUUUGGUCACCAAGACUCCUCCGUCGUCACUCUUGAGUUUUCUUCCGCUUAAAGACUCGUAAAUUGCACGAUUUUCGUCGGACAUUAUCAAUGGCAAAUGUCCAUGUCUAUCUUUGCCGAACAGACGCUGCGUCCUUGUGGGAUGCCUUGUGAUGGUUACUUUCUUCUUCCUACCAACCCAACCUUUUCUGACAAGAGCAAGCAAGACGCUGCUAAGUUUUGUAUCCUCAAAGAGAGGGACAGAGACACCAUUCUUUAUGCUCUCAGCUGAAUUAGCAGCGGCUUGCAGCCCAUCUAAACAAGUUUGCUGGUUUGUUAACACAGCACUAAGCCGAGUUUGCACGUCAUCAGCUUGCAUGGCAGGUAGAAUUUCUCUAGUAGUAUUGAGAGUUUGAAAGCAGCUUGAAAGAUAGUCCACGUUGAGAUCAGUUAGUGAAUUGCAAUCUUCCAGAGCCCGAAUAGCGGCGGUUGAUAAUGUGGACCGCCGUUUAAGAUAUGUGUCAAUUAAGUGCAGGAAUUUACGAGAUUGCGAAAAGGCUUUGCGGAUGGAGAAGCGACCAUAGGUGUAGACAUCUGCGGUUGGGUUAGCAUUAGCGAGCAUAGAUUUGCAAUAAGAACGAUUUUUGGAGUGUACUUGCAAAUGGUUUCUGGUGUGAAGCGAGUUGUUGGAGCAUUAUCUAACCUUAGUGCACAAGAUGGAUAGGCAAAGAAAGGAAGGGCAAGGAGAAUUGGAAAUGCUCUGAUCAGAAAGAAGAGUUUGGAAGCCAUAAUCUUUUUAGACCAUGAAACAGAUUGAACUACGCUGGAAUGAUUUGUAUUAGGAUUUAGGUGAAUUUAUAGGAGGGACAGGGAGCUUUUACAAAUAUGGAAGUCAGCUUAUGAGACUAUCAAGCACGCAGUCUCAACAUAAUAUCCUAAUGUAUGCAACCAAAUUUGGAAUUAAAAUGUUUGUUAAAUUUAUCUACUUAUACAACGUGCCUGCUGUAUUCAUUCUUUGACAAUCUUUGCGUUGUAUAUUAAUGUCUGAACAUAUCUUUCUUGUGGGACGACAAUGUGUGAGUCAGGAUGGGUGAGUAAAUUAAGAUUUGUUUGGUAAUGAGAUUUGACAGUUAUAACUUAAAAGUUUUGCAAUUAAAGUAUUUAAUAAACACUAGAUAUAAUGGCUUAGAAGAUAAAUUGAGUUAAUCUCACACUUGUAUGAUAAAAAAUUUAUAAUAUCUUUACAUUUUUCCUCAAAAUUAUUAUUUAAAAGUCAUGUCUCUACAUGACCUUUAAUUUAUUUCAUAAUUUCAUUUUUUUUCCCACAGCAUCUCAUCAAACAUGGUCUAAGUUCCUUGUGGGCGUACCCACCAAGAUUAUCUGCAGUGACAUACACAUUACUAAUUUUCAGCCAGCUUAAGCAAUUAGGUUUGAACUAAAUUGAAAUUGAAAUAAAAUACCGAAAAUUUAAUCCAACAUCUUUCUGAUUAUUAUGUUGGAAUAUCUCAUUUACAUGCAGAAUAAAUUUCUAGAAGUUAUAACAUAUAAUUGUUGAUUAGUUUGGCAGGUAAAAUCUCUAAAAUUAUACAAGAUGUCUGGCAUUUGAACUUACUCAAAUAUGGAGAUGAGAUAUAAUUUCUAGUCAUAUGCUCACAAAAUUAAUAAUCGCCAAUAAUCAAUUAAAAUCCUAAGAGCAUAGAUGUGUGUGAUAUUAAUUAAAAGUUUAUAGUCGGUAGGGGACAAAAUUUUAAUGGGUUCUGAUGUGCCAAUACUAUUUAAAAAAGAAAGGGUGCAAAUGUCAAUGCGAUAAACGUAACAUAUGGAAUGUACUAGACUGUUUACUAAAUAGAAGAAACUUAUUGCCAGAAAACCAAAUAACUUUAAGGCAAUUAUUUUAAAACAAUGUUAUAUGAUUUUUGGCUAAACCCACUUUGAUUAAACUAUAUCACUAGAUCUCGUCUACUCUUGUGACUUCUUACUUAUCAUCACACUAUCAACUUGUACAAAGCAUUAGAGAACGCAAUACAAGAAAUACGUAUGCCUUACAACAACUACAAUAUUGUCUCAAGCGCUGAAACACUUCUAAUACCAAGCUUUUGGCUUCUAGCCUAAAUGAUUUUACAUCUUGAUCAAAUAGAAUAAUCAGACAUUAAAUUAAGCUUCAGGUUUUUUCCAGUGUCCGCGAUUAUAAAAAAAUUAUCCAUCUCCACAAAUAAAUUGAAUAAAUGUGCCUGGAAUACAGAUUAAAGUAUAUGGUCAACAGACCUAAUAGUUGUGACGCUUACGUAGGUCUCACUUUGGUUGAAUAAUCAAACAAAUUAAGUUCAUAGUGUUGGUUCCACAACUGUGAUAACUAGAGGACAAAAUCAAAGCGAAGGAAUUAAUCUGCAUCAACUUAGGUUGAGGUUGAAUCAAAUUAAAACACUCAUACAUCGGAUCAAUUAGAAAAAUGUGGGACUAUUUGAACCCACAAAAUUUCUCUCUACAUCUAUUUUAAAAAAUAAAAUUGUUACUUAAAUUUAAAUUUAAAAUUACCCUUCGUUAAUCACUUUUUGUCUCUACUUUACAAUUUUAUUUUUUUAAAAAAUUUAUUUUUUAAGCUUUUCUUAGUAUAUCAUGACCUAUAUUUCAUACUUCCUAUAUAUAAGGAAUUUUUUAUCUUGAUACUCAUUAGCUUUUGUGUUUAGUAAAAAUUAAUUUCUUUAUAUUCAAUAACUUUCAUGGUUGAUAAAUAUUUACUGAUGUUCAUUUUAAAAUAGUGGUUUUUGUUCCUUUUAGUUAAUAUUACCAAUUAUGUGCAGCUAAAAAAAUAAAUUUAAAUGAAUUGAUGAGAAUUUGUUAAAUUGAGAAGAGAAAAAGAAGAAAGGGUUUCUUAAGUAAUUUUUUCAAAAAAUUAUUUAAACAAUAAAAUUCUUAACUAAAAAGAGGGUGUAGAAAGAAAUUUGGUGGGAUUCAAACAAUCUCACCCAUUAAAAACUUUACUUUUUAUUUAACAACAUUUUAUAAACCAAAAACAUCAGUUUCUAAAGAGGGUGAGAUUAUUUGCACUCUAAAAAUUAAUUUUUAUACUCUAAUUUCAAUAAAAAUAUAUAUUAAAAAACACCCAUUAUGUGAAUUAUUGUUAAGGAUAAUAUAUUAUAAGUUAAUAUUAUAUAAUUAUUUUUGAACACCCAUAUACCACACUCAUUAUUCAAUUUACAAUUCUUAUACUUUAAACCUUAAAACUUUUAUUUUCAACCUUUUUAAACCUUUGGCCCUUCUUCUUCAUUUUAUUCAUCUCUUCAUCUUCUUCUUCUCCUUUUUUUUUCUUUUUUUCUUUUUAAAGUAUUUAUGGAACUUUUUAUUAUUAUGUUCUCAAUACAAGUUAUUUGGGAUGUAAAUUUCAAUAUUGAACAUAUUUUAAUAGUUAUAAUUAUGUCAAAUAAUUUAUUUACAAGUUGACUUAUUAUACUGUUGUAACUAUUUCUAUCUAAUUUAUUUAUUUUCAUCCUUAACUAAAUAAAAUUUACUAAUUAUCAUUAUUAUUCAUCUUCAUAACUUGUGAUAUGUAAAUGUAAUAAUAAAUCAUUGUUUUAAUUUUUUUAAAAUUAGCAUUAUUUAUCUUUAUAAUUUUUUAUGAAUAUUUUGUGUAUAACACAUUGUAAACAACAAUAAAAUUGAUUCACAUGUUCUAAUUUAGAAUAUUGAAGAUUGUAUUGACUUGAACAUGAUUGAUUUAUGUUCUUAUAAAAUACUAUCUUAUUAAUGUUCGUUGAAAUGUUUAUUACUUAUUUAACAUUUUAAAUUUGUAAGAGUAUAAAUGGAAAAAUAAUAGUUUUCAAACUUUUAAGUUGAGAAAAAUAAACAAAUUAAUAGAAAUAUGUCAUGUAAAUUCAGACAUUUAGCUUUAUUGAAAAAUCAAAAUUUAAACCCAUUCGUCUACUCCGAUUUUAUUUAAAAAAAUAACACACACACAAUCUAAAUAUUAGCAAUAAGUUACAAAUUGGUCUCUGAUUUUCAGCAAAAUUGCGCUUUACUUGAAGUGGGUGUGACAUAAAGUAAAUUUCAUAGAACCCUCGUUUAGUUGCAUUGACCUUUCCUUAAGUCCCAUAUGCAUGCGUUGACAUUUUUUUUUUCUUUUUAAAUUGUUUGCAAAAAUUGCAAUGACGGAAAACAACUAAAACACUCCUUAUUUGGUGAAAUUAAAUAUUUUUCAACCAGCAUAUUUUUUAUGUCAAUAAUAUUUUGUUAAUUGUCAACUUUAAUUUUUUACAUUAAAAUAAGUGUUAAAAUUGUUAUAUACAUGUAUCUCAACAGUUGGAUUUGUAUGAUACAAAAAAGAUCUUAAAUUGUCCUCUAAAAAUUAAGUAUUUUAGAUUAUUUAACAUUGGACCAUUAAGGGCCAGUUUGGAAAAUACUGUAACUUUUAAAAUAAUUGAUGUUAAUUGUGUUGUAGAAAUAAUCAGCUGUGAAAAAAAUCAGUUAAGUGUUUGAUAAAUUUUAUUUUCAGAAGUACUAUGACUUUUGAAAGCAAUUAUGGACGUUCGGUAAAUUUUACUAUUAAACUGCUGAGAGAAAACAAAUGUCUAAAAUGUACAUAAUGUAUGAUAAAAUUUACUUAUACAUAUAAUAUAAAUUAUAUUAAAAAUUUAUUAAAAUAUUGAUUUUGUUUUCAAUUUGAAUAAGGAUAAUUUUGGGUUUAAGUAAUAAUUUUAAGGAUAUUUAUGAAAUUGUAUUAAAGGAUAACUCAAAAUCAGAAUCUAAAAGAUACUCCUUCCAUUUUUUUCAAAAUCAACUGUAAGAGUGGUUGAUUUUGACAAAAGUGAUUUUGAUUUUUUUUAACACUAAAAUUACCUUUUAAAAUUUUAAAAUCGCUUUUAAAUCUUCCAAAAGCAAUCCCAAACGGAUCCUAAGAGGUUUCAGUAGAUUUUAAAACACAAGAGAAAAAAUGGUUUACUUCACAUAUAGUAUUUUUAAAGAAGAAUGUUGGAAUUAAAGGAUUUUGUUUUAGAAAAGUCUAGCUAGCUAAUAGAAUUUUUGACUUAUUAAAUCUCGAGAGCCAAAAAUUUCUUCUUCAAAUGGGCUAUUUGCGCAUAUGUGUUAACAAUAAAACGUUAACAGAAUUAGGAUUAAUUGUUGACAAACUUUAAUAUUUGUUACCAGAAUGAUAGAGUUGUGCAAAAUUUAGGAAAUAAGUAGCAUAAUAAAAAGCAGUAGGGACGAUUCACUGUUGCGGAUAUUUCAUCAUCAAUUUCGAUAACAACAUUAUUUAAACAUCUUAGUCAUUGGAGUACUUCUACUGCAAAAAAGUUAAAAAUAAAAAAAAUACAAUAGCAGUUCAAAUAUUAAAUUUAUUGUCAAUACAAUUGUACAUUUGAAUAGCUUGUGUAUCACACAUGAUUAUUGAGUUUGCAAAGCAAUUUCCCAAAAAAAAAAAACCGACGAACAGGAAGCUUCACAAGAUGAGUAGCUUAAUUAAAAAAAUUAACUAAUGAAACCACCGUUGUAAGGCACUCCAGUUUGCGGUAACCAAUUGUCCCCAGACAAGAAAUUAGAAACGGUGAAAUUAGCGGCUUCUGUGGCAUCGAUGAUAUGGUAACCCGGCCAAGUCACCCUAUUGGUGGUGUCUGACCCUGGGCCGGUAUUAUUGUACUCGGCAUAAUACAAUGUAGAUAGUGCAAAAUCGCCGCUCCAAUCGUGCCAACCAGCAGGGUUUAUCAAACUAUCCAUGAAAGUUUGCAUGUAAACAGUUCUAGAGUACUCCUUCCAUGGCCUCCCCAGAUAUGUCUGCACCGUUUGACUGCCCGACGCCAGAUCAUUGGAUGCUCUAAUUGUGCAAUUAUGGAUGGACGUGCCGGUAUUCUGGUUAGGAUCGGUCCUACCUUGUGCUGUAAUGGCGUUGAAUUGUCCACUCAUCGGCAGCCGGGGAUAAAUGUUGCAGUUUUGGAGAACAACGGCUGCGUUUCCGAAUAUGAAAUCAACUGUACCAUAUAUAUCGCAUUCUCUGUAGAACUGCCUUAGAGAAUGCGUAUAUAAUGUAUCUUGGUACCCUUCAAAGCUGCAGCUAUAAAAUGUAGACAAAUCAGCCGCACUACGCAGUGCCACAGCCUGGUGCUUGACUGCUCCAGCCGUAUUGCGGAUAGUUAUGUCCGAUGCAACAAAGUUUGGUGCCACCACGACUGCAAUAUAUUUAAUUUAUUGACAAUAAAGUCAAUAUUAGAAUAAUCGAGUUUAUUAAUAUAUUUUUGGCACUAGAACAUAAAAAAGACUAAUUGUGCAUGUAUAGGUAGGUAGGUAGCUUACUGAAGGUUGCAGAAUUGGAAGUAGUCCAUCCAUCAACAACGUUUCUGUUGCCGGUGAUUAUUGUCUGAUUGAUGCCGUCUCCGAUCAUCAUCAAAUUUUUCUUAUUCUUAGGAAUGGAGAUGUAUUCUUGAUAGACGCCCGCGGUGACAUAAAUCAAAAAGUAUCCAUUGUCAGGAUUUGUAUUGUUUGGAGCUACAUUAAUAGCAUCAGUGAUUGUGGAGAAAUUUCCAGUGCCAUCUAGAGCAACAGUCACAAUAUCGAUCACCAGGACUCCUUCAUCACCACCUGUGAGUUUUCUUCCUCUUACGGAGUCGUAGAUUGCUCGAAUUCGGUCAGACAUAAUCAGCGGUAAACGUCCAUUGUGGCCGAACAUACUUUGUGUCUUUGAAGGCUGCCAUGAGGUGACUAUCUUCUUCUCACCAACCCAACCCUUUCUGAAAAGAGCAAGCAAGACACUGCUAAGUUUUAUGUCCUCAAGUAACGGAACAGAGAGGCCAUUCUUUACGCUCUCGGACAAAGCAGAGUCUUGAAUGUCAUCUAAACAGGUAUUUUGGUUCGUUAAGAUGGCACUAAGCUGAGCUUGCACGUCAUCAGCUUGGAUGGUUUUCAGAAUUCGGCUAGUGGUGUUGGCAGCUUGAUAAGAGCUUGAAAGAUAGUCCAAGUUGAGACCAGCUAGUAAACGGCAAUCAUCUAGAGUGCGGAUUGCACUGAGUGGUAAUGUGGAUCCGGAUUUAAGAUAAUUGUCAACUAAGUUGAAGAAUUUUUGAGUUUGCGAUAAAGCUUUGCGGAUGGAUAAUCGACAAUAUGUGUAGGUAUCUGCGGUUUGGUUAGGGGUAGCAGGGAGCACCGAUUUGCAAUCUUUAGGUUUUGGAGUGUACAUGCAAAUAGUUUCUGGUGGGACAGGAGUUGUUGGUGGAUCAACAUUAUCUGCUGCAUAAGAUGGAUAGGCAAAAAAAGGAAGGGCAAUGAGAAUAGGUAUUGUUAUGAGAAAAAAGAGCUUUGAAGCCAUAAUUGUUCUAGACUGGCUAGGGAAUUGAAGAGAUCGAAUUCGAAUGAUGUGGGUGUUGUUAAUGUGAUGUAUUUAUAGGAGGCAAGUGUAGCUUUAAUUGCUUCAUAUUUGUGAUGGGCUUAAAAAUAUGGAAGUCAACUGUAAGAAUUUAUUAAACAAAGAAAACUUGUUUGUCUCGAUAAUUGAUAAUCUAAUGCAUGCAACCAAAUCUGAAAAUAAAAUUGUUAUUCCUUUUUUCCCUUGAUGGAAGUACUUGCAUUUUUAUAUUCAUUUUUCGGAAUACUUUGCUUUAUAUUGCCCACUAUUAUUGUCAACGGCGACAUAAAUUCCCCCACCACCGGUGAUCCACUAUUACUAAUUUUGGUUAAUUAAUCCAGCAAAGCAUAUGAUCCGCGGUUUCAAAUUUUGACCAGUUAUUCCGAGCACGAGGCCAUAUGAGUUCCGACUACGUUACAGAUUCUGCAAGUGACAGCUAGUGAUUUGACAUGAUCAUCACUCAAAUAUUGGCACUUGGUCAAUUAAUCAAAGUCCUAAGACAUGAUGACCGGCAAAAGGUGGUACAUUGUAGUAUGGUUUGUCUUUACUAUUACUGCUACAGCUAUUAUUAUUAGUAUAGCUAACACUACCAGUACUAAUUUUUUUCACUAUUAUAAAAAUUUUUAUUAACUAUCACGCGUUCAGGACUCUUAAGUUAUGAAUUAUAAAAUAUAUUCGUCAUCAUCAAUUUUCACUACUAAAAUAAGUCAUAAAAAAUGUAUCGUCGUGAUGUCGUAGAUGUAACGAUGUAAAAACUUAUAAUAUUACCAUACACAAUAUAACAUGCUUUUAUUAAUUUUUGCUUCGAAAUCAAAUUAUAUCAAAGAGACACUUUGAGCAUGAGUUUUGAGGGAUCCUACAAAUGUUGAAUACUUAGAAUUAAACUGUGAUAAAUACGGUGCAAAUUGUGCUAUGAAGCAGUGUUAGUUGGAAUACUAAAAAAGGGAAAGGAGCACAUGUUAAACUAAUUAAUUUUCUAACUUUGAAUUGCGGGUGAAAUACGAAGUUGAGGGUCAAAGACGGAGCCAAAAUUGACAUUCUUUGGGGCCAAACUGUCAAAGGUGUUAAGUUUAAGUGCCAUAUUCUGAAAAAUACUUCAUAAAACUGAGGGUAAAUGAUUAAGUGUAUAACAUUUAACUUGACUGGGGCCAAAAUACAAGAUUCUCAAUAUCUUAAGCUCAAAUUAUAAUAUGCAGCUUAUAUAAAUAUAUAUCUUUUUUGGGGUCUGCAGGGACCGCAGGUCACAGAGUGAUAAUAUGAAUUUCAAUAUAUUAGCAGGUUACCCUCCUCCUCAAUUAAAUUCUUACAUUUUCCUUCCGCACCAUCUGGCAUUAGAUUUAUGUCGUCUAAUCCAACAAAUCAGAACAGCUUUGCUGGUAGUUACAAAAUCUUUAACGUAGUUGGAGCCUAACUUUUGAGCUAUUAUGAAAUAAAAACUAACUUCAUAAGUUUUCGGUGAUACAUUACGUCAGGCUCAAGGAUAAACGAAAUUGAAAAAAAAUAAGAGAGAGAGAGGGAAAACCUGCCACAGUCCAAUUGUGACGGUUACCAAACACCGCCGUGGCAGCAACCCGGUUGCCGGGCAACAUAAAUAAACCGGGACUUAGACUUUAAUGAUCACAACUUGAUAAGGUAGCUAGUUGCGGAUGUGAUAUUGAGAAUAUAUGAAAAGGGCAAAAUUUCAAUGGUUUGUUAUGACUUGAAAUGAAAAGAAUAUAUAUGAACCCACGUACCCAAAUAUCAUUACUCCUUCUUAGUAGUUAGCGUAUUUACUGGGUUAAAAGAAUACAUGUACAUUUUCUCACAGAAUUAAUACAACUUUCAUUGGGCGCAGAAUGAAUUUUGAGAUCCUGAUUCGUCUUCUAAGUGGGUAUUAAUUUACUUUGGUGAUCUUUCGAUGAGCUUGGUAGCUCCUAAAGUAGAUAUAGACGGGCAAGAAGUUCUACAACAAACGAUAGUAUGAAACCUCAGCAACACUAACACAUCAAUUAUUCUUAGUGAAGAUGCAAUGGUUUCAAAGUCACACGUACGUGUCUAGCUGCAAGUACUUCUGAAGUCUGAACCCAACCAAUCCGAAGACGUAUUGAAAUUCUUAUUCUUGUCUGCUUGUCGAUCGACCAAGGUUCGGUGGGUACGUGUGUUUUUAGAUAAGGCGUGGAAUAAAGACAAUACAUGGUCAAAACGCCCAAUUGUUGUGAUGCUCACGUCCCACUUAUGUUGUAAUAAAAUAAUAUCAAAGAAUGUGAAGGCAACUUAUGCUUGGUGAUUGAUUCCUUGUUUAAUAAGAAGUGAACGUAACCAAAGAGAAAUCAAUUGGGCCCAUUUACAUUGAGGUGUCUUGAUUGUAGUAAAAUAAAAACUACAAUUAUGAAAUAAAAAUUUAUAAUGUGUGGUAAAUAUGAUUUUUAAAUAAUAAUUUUAAUAAAAAUAGUAAAAAUAUUAUAAAAUUUUUAUCAUACAAGUAUAUGAUCAAAUCAACCUCACCUGCAAAUCACAGCAGGAUAAACAUUUUAAUGCUCUAAUUUUUAAGCUUGAGCUGCCGAACACGCUACCAAACAAACCUUUAGUUAACAUCAGCUAACUAUAUAAACUGAUGGAAUUUUUUUUUUAAUAGCUGAAUUGCAACAUAAUUUCUUUCCACCCAUGUCGUGAAGUUCAAAUAUCUAAAUCCUAUUUCUAGUUAAGAACUUUCACCAACGGACAAGUGGCACCGAUUUUCAUUGAAUAGAGUUUUAUAUAUAGAGAGAGAAAGAGGGUUGAAUAAAGAUACAAUUGGAUUUUAGCAAUGAUCUAUAUAAUUGAAACGUUUAGGGUCUUAUCCAAAAAAAUGUUUAGGGUUAUUUUUAAGAUAAACACGUACGUGGGCGUGGAUCAAUGGUGAAGUAGAAUGUUGCUUAAGCCCUUAAACAAGAGAAGAAUAACAAUUUUUUUUAAUUUAUAUGGUGAUUUCAACCCACCAAUUUUAUUAUAUUACAUCAAUUUAAAUAAGAAAAAAAAAGAAGAAGCUAAAACUAUAACUAGCGUUAUGAUCAGAAUUUAUAUCGGAAUGUACUUUUAACCUGUUUAGUUUUAGUACUUGGUAUUUUGUUAAUGAAAGUAUGAAACCUUUCCCCCAACUUCCAUUCUUCAUUGAGUCCUUUCAGAAUUUUGGGACAAGCUUAGGAGAGGCCUAUUGAAUGAAGAUUGGGCCUGGCCCGGUAUACCGGCCCAAUCGGAAGACGGCAUGUUCUUUUUCCUUGCUUGUAGGUCAAACAAACAAAUUAGCUCCUUUUGAUAUUUGAACUAUGCAUUUCUCUCGCUUCAUCAAAGACGUGCCAUCUUGGAUUUCAAUGAUCUCACCUCAGAAUCAUCAAGGAUUUUGUCAUUCGAGUCUCACUCACUCCAUUGAAUAAAUAAUACAACGAGCCGCCCCCGUUUUGCACGACGGUCACGUAUAUUGCAUGAUUAUUUCACUUCCCAAGGUAAUAUAUUUUGAAAUACCGUUAUAAAUACAUAUAGACAACACGUGCACACGCAUACUUGGCUGAAUGAUUCACAAGGGUGCAAGCGCGUAAAAUAUGUACUGAUUUUCUUAGUACAUUAGUCAGACGAAACAUACGCCAUAUCCAUCCAACUUGAUCAUUGGAGAUUGGAACCAGAGUUUUAAUGUGUAACUUACAACUAAUUGUAUUAAUUAUUGUAAUUUCAACAUGGAAACUGUGUGACGACGAAACAGUGAAGCUUCCUUAGACUAUUUUAAAAUUCUCUCACAGUUUUCUUUAUUAAAAAAAAAGAAAGAAGUAGUAAUAGCAUUUGAGCCAUGAGUUUUUAUGUUUAUUCGAGUAAACAUAUAACUUGUUAAUUUUGUAUAAAAUUGGUCCCUGACCUAGUGACCUUUAUUGGAAUAAUAAGCAUAAUUGGAAUACAUGUACCUUUGGAUUUCAGUUGUUAUCUAAAUGUUAGUAUUCCCAUCAUUAUUGAUAUUAAGGAUUGGAUAUUUGAACCUAUAAAAAGUACACUCCACACCUUUUUUGUUUAUAGUUAAUUGCAUUGUGUUUAAUCUCAAGCUUUACUAGCAAAAUCCAAAAAUGAAUAUUCAAGUCGGGUCAUCCCAGAUCACGUCAGGCAGCAAAUUAUAAUGCAAAUCACAGGGUCUAAGUAGAUUGCUAACAAAGAAGCUAUAGAAUUUAAUUUAUAAGAGUAAAAAUUUCAACCUGUGAUUUAUAUCUUAGUUGGGCAAGGAAAUUGAUAGGGAAACUGAGAAAGGACAACUGAAAGAUUAAACACAGCUACAAAUUAAAGCAUAAUUUAUUAAUUCAUCUAUUCAUUUUAAUCGCAUACUUUUUUUUUUCUUAAUCAAAAUGUUUUCAGGUAACUAGAGCUGAAAAUUUUAGGAUUAAUUGGUUGGCUGCAAUUGAAUUUUUGUUAUUCUCAUUGGUUUAAUAUUGCUUAUCAAUAGUUGUGUAAAUAGUUUUGGUGGGUUUUAUUUUCCAAACAAUAUCUAAAAGAAUUUAAUUAUAUGAGGGUAUUUUUAGUAUUUAAGUAGUUGUAUUUGUAUAGAGCAUAGUUUCAAAUUUUAAAUCUUAGUAGAAUGUUUAUUGAAUAAAUGGGUUUAACGAGUAUUUUGUUGAAUUUUCUCAUUUAUAUGUGGUUGGUCGAAAUUAACCCAAAAUACGAGGGUCUUUCGUAGUUUUACAAAGCAGUUAUGCUGUCGUGGAUCUAUUUAUCUAAAAUAGAUCGAACUAUGUCCUUCUUUGGGUAAAAGUAAAAUAAUUCGUGGGCCCACCUACUAUUAUUCCAUGUUCAAAUCCAUUGUAUAAUGACUCGAAACUAUUUGAAAUCAUGAGCUAUUGGUCCAGGAAGGUCGCCCGUAUCCCCAGUGAAGUGUCAAAAUCUCACAUGAUCGACCAAUGAAAAGAGUUCUGGAUCUGUCCUUAUCUAUAACAAAUCAAUGAAGAAAAACAAUAAUAAUGAUAUUAUUUUAGUACUACUGCUGAGAAAGAAGAAAAUGAGAUCACUUUGCUCGAAUUGACAAAUCAAUUAUUGCAUAGAAUCAAUUAAUACCACGCUGUACAUGAGAAUAGCUGGCAGUUUACAACGAAUGGCUUUUACAAAACAAUUACUCUCUGAAAUAAAAAUAAAAGAAGAACCAGAACGGAUAUUGAAUGAGUACUGUGUGGUAGCUUUAAAUUAAGGCACCAGUGUACGACACUCCGGUUUGUGGUAUCCAGUCGUCUCCCAACAGGAAGUUAGACACAGUAAAAUUAGCGGCAUCGGUUGCAUUGAUGGUCACAUGGUAACCAGGCCACGUAACCCUAUUGGCAGUGUUUGACCCAGGUCCGGUGUUAUUGUACUCGGCAUAAUAUAAUGUACUUAGCGCGAAAUCUCCACUCCAAAUCUGCCAACCGGCAGGGUUUAUCGAACUAUCCAUGAAAGAUUGCAUAUAAACGGUUCUAGAGUACUCCUUCCAUGGCCUCCCCAGAUAUGUCUGCACCGUUUGACUGCCCGACGCCAGAUCACUGGAUGCUCUAAUUGUGCAAUUAUGGAUGGACGUGCCGGUAUUCUGGUUAGGAUCGGUCCGACCUUGUGCUGUAAUGGCGUUGAAUUGUCCACUCAUCGGCAGCCGGGGAUAAAUGUUGCAGUUUUGGAGAACAACGGCUGCGUUUCCGAAUAUGAAAUCAACUGUACCAUAUAUGUCACAUUCCCUGUAGAACUGCCUUAGAGAAUGUGUAUAUAAUGUAUCUUGGUACGCUUCAAAGCUGCAGCUAUAAAAUGUAGACAAAUCUGCCCCAUUGCGUAGUGCCACAGCCUGAUGCUUGAUUGCUCCAGCCGUAUUGCGGAUGGUUAUAUUCACUGCGACAAAUUUCGGUGCCACCACGGCUGCAAUUUUUAUCACCAAAAGAAAAUCAUUAGAAUGACAUAAUCAUCUUCCAAUACUACAAUUAACAAAAUUUAAAAUCAAAAAAAUAAAAUAGAAGUGUGUGUGUAUAUAUAUGUAUGUAUGAUUAUUACCAAAAGUCGCAGAAUUGAACGUAGUCCAUCCAUCAACAACGCUUCUGUUGCCAGUGAUUACUGUCUGGUUGAUGCCGUCUCCAAUGAUCAUCAAAUUUUUCUUGUUCUUAGAAAUGGAUAUAUAUUCCUCGUAAACACCCGCCGUGAUAUAAAUCAAGAAGUAUCCAUUGGUAACAUCUGUAUUGUUUGGAGCAACAUUAAUAGCAUCAGUGAUGGUAGUGAAAUUCCCGCUCCCGUCUUGACUCACCGUGACAAUAUCGCUCACCAAGACUUCAUCAUCCGGAGCAGCUUGGAGAAGUUUUCUUCUGCUUACAGUCUCAUAAACUACACGUGUUUUUUCAGACAUUUUAAACGGUAGCCGUCCGUUCCGGAACAGACGUUGCUUCCUUGUGGGCUGCCAUGCGGUUGCUUUCUUCUUCUUAGGGACCCAAGCUUUUGUGAAAAGAGCAAGAGACACACUGUAGAGUUUUGUGUCGUUGGAAAGAGGGAGUGAGAGACCAUUCUUGACGCUCCAAGCGGAAGCCGUGUCUUGUAAGCCAUCAAAACAGGUUUGCUGGUUUGUUAGAAUGGCACUAAGGAAAGUCUGCACGUCAUCCGCUUGCAUGGUGGGUAAAGUUUUACUAGUAGAAUUGACAGUUUCAAAGGAGCUUAAAAGAAAGUCCAUGUUGAAACCAGCUAGUAAACGGCAAUCCUCUAGAGCACGUAUGGCAGUAGUUGAUAAUGUGGCGCGGCGGGUGAGAUAUUUGUCAACUAGGUUCAAGAAUUUACGAGAUUGCCAUAAAGCUUUGCGAAUGGAGAAUCGGCCGUAGGUGUAGACAUUUGCAGUUUGGUUAGGGAGCACGGAUUUGCAAAAGGAUGGGUCCGGAGUGGAUUUGCAAACCGAUCCAGCUGAAACAGGAGUCGUUGGAGCGACAUCUGUUGCAUGUGAUGGACGAGCAAAGACAGGAAGAAGUGCAAUAAGAAUAGGUAUUGUUAUGACAAAGAAGAGCUUUGAAGCCAUUAAUUAAUUUUGGAGUAGACUGGAGAUUGAAUAAGAGAUGGAGUUAUUUUGAAUGGCUUUAAUUUGUACUUUGAUGUAUUUAUAGGAAAGACGGGUACUUAGCUUUGCUUCAUAGUUCAUACUGUGAUGCAUUAAUUAAUUAUGGAGAAGUAUGCAUGGAAGUCAACAUCUUGGACUUUUAGGUAGAAAACGCGUUUGUAUGGCUUGAUUUAUAUUUAUCUAUAUAUCUUCCCUUCUAAUAAUACAUGUAACUUUUGAUUGAACGUAGUUAUACAUUCAUGCUUUCGCAAUUGAUCACAUUUGGAUUGUCAAAACUCAAAGGUGAAACAUGCAUGUCGAAUUACUCACCGUCUUUGGUUAUGCUUAUUAAUUAAAUCUAUUAAGGUAAGUUACGACCAAUUAAUUCCAUUAUUACACAAAUACUUAACUUUAGAGAUCAUCAUGAGAGAGUGUGAAGUGCUUAGAGUAUCUCCAAAAACAUAUAUAAAUUUUACUCUUCAAAUACUUAUUUACUUACCUAUGUGGCAAAUAGAAGGGUGAAAAAAUAUGAUAUUCUCCAAAAGACUCUUCAAAUAUAAAUAAAUUAAUAUUAUUUUAAUCAAAUAAUUAUUUUUUUAAAGGAAAAGUCAAUAGCAAUUAAAGCACUUCUCUCUCUUUCUUCAAUGAAAAGUAAUAAAAUAUAAAUUGAAAAGUGAGAAAUUAACUCUCCAAAUUUGAAGAGAGAGAAUCAAUUCUUAUUUGAAGAAUCUUAAUUGGAGUGUCUUUUAGAGCUUUAAAUAUUGAUGUGACUCUUCAAAUAAGUAAUAAAAUCUUAUUUGAAGAGUCUUUUGGAGAUGCUCUUAGAAGCUCUCCUAUAGAGUAGAUGCAUUAUGCAUGGUGUUUCGACCCAUUUUUCGCUCAUCUGAGUGGUACAAGCUGAUAGACAUUAAAGAUUUGUUUGAUUAGAGAUGGUGAAGUGAUGCCUUGGAUCGGUUAAAAAGCUAUGUCUAAAGGAGCCUGGGGGAUUCUAUAGGACUUAGUGAGCCUUAAAAGGCUUACAAGGCACACAGCGAACAAAAUCAAGUAAAAAAUGAUGGACAAUACCUCAAUGGGGCAGAAGUAAAAUUUUUUCAGACAGUGCCAAAUGUUUUAGGCCAUUUUUUUUUCAUCUUAGCGGUGCAAGCCAAGGGACAUCAAGAUUUGUUUGAUUGGGGAGGGUGAAGUGUUGCUCUAGAUCAGUUAAAAAGUUGAGUCUAGAGGAGCCUGAGAGACUCUAUGGGCCUUAGUGAGCCAAAGGAGCCUUAGAAGACUUAUAGGGUUCCUUUAAAGAGUCUUGAGAAAACUCUAAAGAUGCUUUGGGGGGCUCGAGGAGAUCCGAGGAUGCCCUAGAAAAAGCAUAAGGCAUAUAUAAGCAUAAAUAUAACACAUAAGAUUUACAUGGUUUGACAUAUAUCUUAUAAGGGCAAUGUCUUGUUAACCCAUCUAUUAUGUUAAAUAUGAUAUUACAAAGGAUUCUUUACAAUAUAAUUGAUAAAUAACAUAAAAGGAAUUUUCCUAGUGCUUUUUCCUCUUAGGAUCCUUAAGGGAGCUCUAUGUUUCUCUGCGAAGACACUUUCGAAGAGUAUCCUUGAGUGUGGAGGAUAAUAUGGAGGAUGGUUAUGUUGUGUCAACCACAAAGAAGCAUAUACGUAGCACUAGCCUCUUAGAAAGAUGAGGCCCGAGAUAAAGAUUAAGGGAAAAAAUGGCUUUAUGGAGAGAUGAGUAGUGAAAAUAAGGACUUGUAUGGUGCAUGAUGUUCAGAUGUGAAAGCUCUAAGAAUGGAAGAAGUGAAGAGUUUUUGGAGAAGUUGGAAAAGUAAAAGACCUAUAUUUUUACAUACAAUGAAGAAAGAGAAAAAGAUAAAGAAAAGAAUUAAAAAAUGAAUGAGACCCUUCCUAGGAUAAGCUUAAUUUAUAUAAUAAGGUUAUUAAGGGCAUCAACAAGUCUCUCAAAACACAUAACGGAACUCGAUUAACGGGUCCUCUUUAUACCCUUGCAUUUGCAUAAUUUUUAGUCGAAGUUCAAAUAUUUAAAGUCCUUUGAAUUCAUCUUGUAUUACACGUGACAAUUUCUCAUUAAAGGAUUUUUUUUUACCUAAGAACCCUGUAGUCCUUUUUCACGUAGCGCAUUUUGAUUUGCCCUGACAUUUGGCAAGUGUAUUAGGCACCUCAUAAGCUUCUUGAUAGCGGCACGCCUAUUUGUUCCCUAGGGAUCACUAUUUUGUAUGAUAGCGAAUAAGAGCCUUAAGAUAAACUUGAGACACAAGAUAAGGUCUGUGGAUCCCUCCUUCUAAAUUGGCGAUCAUUUUAACACUUGAGGUUCCUUUGAGCUGGGCGAUUCUAAUUGGAGAUGGUUUCAUGUCCUUUGGAGUCCUAAUGUUUGACUUUUGAAAAUGAAAAAGUAGCUUUUGAAUCAUAAGUAGGGAUGGCAAAAUCUAGGUGUGGGUCCAGGUUUGGCCUUCCAGGUUCUGGACCAAGAUGCCAAUUUUACUUUACCCGACCUAAAUAUAUACCCGAUUUUUUCGACUCCGGGUUCGAUACGGGUUGAACCCGAAAAAAUCGGAUUUCUGGAUUCUGAGUUUCGAACUCGAAUUUGAUUUUAGCUGUGGAAAACAAUCAUCUUCGAUUAUUUUUUACAACUCUGAAUUUCUAGCUGCAAACAGAUGAACACACAACGACAAUAGACAUACGAAUACUCACACCCAAAUCUGUCUAUAGUUCUCAUUAAGCUCCACCCGCAAGUUGUCACAAAGAUAAACUUUUGGUGUAAAACAACGACAAUAGACAUACGAAUACUCACACCCAAAUCUGUCUAUAGUUCUCAUUAAGCUCCAGUAAAAGGAAUCUUUGGGCCUUACCAUUUGGUGUAAAAGGAAUCUUUGGGCCUUACCAUUCCACACAGCCAAAGCUCCCAACAACACCCAAAAAAAUAUAAUAAUAAUAAUAAAUAAUCCUCCAAAGCAUCUGACCCAACGUUUCCUCCCAUGAUAUACGUGCAACUUCAACCCAUAUCACAAUCGUCGCCAAUCGCGACAUAGAAGACUAGAGAGGUGGCUGAUGACGAUGAUGAUAGUGAACACAACUGUGAAGGACAAGGUGGCGAAGCGAUGAGAGUAACGACAAUAAAGAUUUGAUGAAAGGAAGAGGAAACAUGCGAUGCGGCUAUGAAUUGCAAUUUGCAAAUUAGGGCACAUGAUUUUUUUUUUUUACUUCUCUAUUUAUAACUUAAAAUAGUUUUAUAACUUAAUAUAAAAAUAAAGAAAUACAAGUCCGGGUUUCGAAUUUUCGGGUUCAAAUAAAAUCGGAUCUGGACCCGGAUAUAUGCGGGUUCAUAAAAUUACAUCCAGAUUUCGGAUAAAAUUAAAUCUGGUACGAGGUAAACCCGAUCCGGAUUAUCUGGGUUCGUCCGGAUCUGAAUCGGGUCCAAAAAAUAUUGUCAUCCCUAAUCAUAAGGCACCUAUGCAGGCUUUGGCAUUCCUCCAUUUGCUUUAUUCCCUUUGUAUCUUACUCUUCGUCUGUUGAUUGCGUUCCUACAGGAUCCUUUGUGGAACCUAGGGCCCUUUUGAAGCCUAGCGAUUCUACCUACCUGAUGCUUCCCUCACAUAUCCUUCUCAUCAUUAAUAUGUUUUCUUCCAUUGUUGGCCUAAAAUUAACCAUUUACAAUAUCACCCUAGUCUCCUUUAGUGAAGAGUGAGGUGAAGGAGAAAAUUCUAUCUAAGAACACGUGUCGUUGUUCUAUUUUCUUUCCUCUAAUCCACAUGAUGCUCUGAAACUGGGUUAACCAAAUUUAUCCACGAACAAAUGAGACAAUUAACAAAACUUUGAAAAUUAAAAAUAAAAAGCAAGCAGAAUUGACACACACACACACACCACAAACCUCAUUACUAUUGUAGCUUUUUUUUUUUUUUUUGGCAACUAUUUUAGCUGAAAGUUUAGUUAAGACGAGGUUAUUUAUUUAUUAUUAUUAUUUUCAAUUGGAAAGAUGUGUCUAGAAAGUCAAGCUAACGCUGAGCCCAACCACUCCACUAUUAGUUUAAUUAUAUGUAUUGAAUUUUUAGUUCUUGUUUGCUUCUUGGCCGAUCGGGUUUCGGUUGGUAAGGUUGUAUUUUGAUUGAGUUAGAUUUGCCAUGGAAUAAAACCAGCACAUAGUCAACCAGCCCGUUCACUUCUAAUAUUUGUUAGAUGAUUGGUUCUUUGUCUGAUAAUACGACAACACAAACAAAUAUAUAAAUAUUAGGAAAUGAUUUAAAUGAUCGAAGAUUAAUAUGAAUCGAAUCUCACUCAAUGUAUAUUAACUCUCCGACACAAGGCCGCUUUCGUUUUGCUUCAAGUAUUAUUGAUUUCAAGAUUACCUCCCCCAAGUUGACAUAUUUAGAAAUACACGUCAUAUAUUCUGCAUAUUUUGAUUCAAUGACACACGUUCCACAAGCGCGUGAAAUUUUUUUUCCAUUUUGCAGUUUUCGGGAACCGAUUUCGAUCAAACAGAUUCGUAAGUAAAAUUAUUUAAAGCUUUUUUUUUGUUUUUUUUCUAAUGCUAAUAUGCAUUGUUACAAUAAAAAAUACUAUUAAUAUUUACAAUCAUAAAAUAUAUUCUUAAAUCAAAACUAUAAAGUAUAGUCUAAAAUUUUAACGUUAUUAAUAUCUGAGAUAUUUAUUUCACUCAUAUGAAUAAAGUAGAUAUCUAUUUCUAUCUUAAUAUUUAAUUAAUAAAAAAGUAUAUGUUAUAGAGACUCGAAUCAUUACUGUCACAAAAAGUUAACAAUUAGAAAUUACUAAUACAAUUGGUGCUUACGAAACUAUGAAGAAGAUUCUUGGAACGAUUUACUCUCUCGUCGUUCAACACUUCCAACUUGUUUUAGAAUAUAUAAUAUUGCAGUAUUGCCAUUAUAAUGUCUCCUGCAUCUGAUCUGCAUGCUCAUAAUUUAAUUAUUAAACAACUAUCGAUACUUUGGUUAUUGUUGACUAAAAAUUUUUAAUAUGUUCCUAUUAGUUGAAGAAACUAUAAAUUCGCCUAACAAAGUCAAACGUCUCGAAUAUUAUAUAUAUUCUUAGCUGCCAAAAUUUUGAAAGAAUUCAAAGGCAAGGCGUAUAAGGAUUUAAACGAUUAGACAAUAUUAAUCAUAAGAAAAUUUGGUAUGUGAAACUUUGAAAAACAGCUACGAACAGGCUGGCGAGCCGAUUCUAUUUCUUUUGCUGGUGGUUUUCAGCAGGCAGCACCGGGCCUAGUUGUUAACAUUUUGACACCGACGACGCGUAUGACUCGUGCAAUUUCUAAUUUACUAUUUCGUUUACUUUUCCACGUAUUGGCGGCUUUCUCAAAAGACCAAAUUGCUUAAUUUUUUUGAGUAAUCAAGUUGAUGCGUUGCUAUGCUAUCCUGCCCACUUAGCAAGAUAGCAUUCUCCUCCCGUAAUUCUCCCUCUAUUAAUUUGUGGAUUAAUAUAAAGUUAGGCAUUGGUUUGUUCUCAUCUGAUUAUUUUGUUUUUGUUUGUGUGCACACAAUUCUUAAUCCCCUUUCUAAAUACUAAUCUAGCUAAAUAGAAAACAAGCGCAAGGGUUUAUAGAAGAAAAAGACGAGCAUUUCUGGGUAAUCAUGUGCGAUUUGGUGCAUAUUAGUAAAAAAUUACGAGCAUUUUGCUUUGAAAUAAGUAGGGCCGCAUUUUAUUAAGAUGGGAACCUUUGCCGCGAUGGUCCUUAUUUGAUAAAUGCUACAAAAAUUCACAGCAAAGAUACAACAACACGCAUGGUUCUUAGAUGUAAUUAAUCUGAAAGCCAAUCCGUACAACUUGUUAUUCAAAAUUGCGAGUUUCAAUUGGUACUGUUUGUACAUGUUUUGAAUUUGAUGCCAUUGUUUUUUCCUUUGCCGUCGUACAUCUGUUGGAUUUCCUAUUAAGACGGUAAAUCAACUGUCGCUUAGUUCCUCUCUGCAUCUGCAUGUAGAAUGUAAUUACUAAUUACCAAUCAUGUUUCCUUCUUGCAGAGAAAUUUGUUUCAAUUGAUGUCGUGUCCGUUGUUUCUGUGCGGUGGGGUUGGAAAAGAACUGGAAAACAAGAAUACCGCAGGUAAUAUAUAUUUUGGAUUUUGGAAGCUUUCAAGAGCUUGGGCUCUAGAAACUUCAGGCCCAUUGGUUUCACAGUGGCCAUUGCAGAGAUGUAGUGUUGACCGCAACUGGCAUAUGUGGUCCAAGGCUCUUCAGGAACUCAAAAUAUGUAGUCCCCAGUGAUAAGGGCAGUACUAUUACCAGACCUCUUAAACCCCUCCGUUCUCCUUCUCACAUAACUCUUACCGUCCACGUCUAAGCCCACCCACGAGCGUAAUAUACGUCUUUUACUUCUUGCAAACUCUUUACAUUUGUUAGUGAAAAGUGAAAAACACAGGAGAUUUGGUUGAGGGGACUGAUAAGAAAAUAUUACCAAUAUCAAGUUUAUAUUUUAGAGAAUUAUAUAUGAAAACAGCUAGUAUGUAAAUUGUGUAUUAUUUAAGAAAAUAAUACCGCAGCUAAUAUAUAUAAGAAAAUAGGAUGGAUUCACCUACCUUGCAACUGUUGCAAGGUACCACCAAUUUGAACUUUUUCUAAUUUCAAUCCGUCACCAUCGGGUCCACCAAAAAAAUAGUUAAAACGGAUGAAUUGUAUUAGUUUGAAUUUUAACAUUAUACUCCCUACUGUUUAUGAAAAUUCUUAAAAGUUAAAGAGAUAAAUUUCUAACAUAUAAGUCUGGAUUUUUUAAAAUUAUAAAUAAUUAGACAAUUAAAAAUCAUUAACUUGCUUUUUUUAACCUUAUUUGAUUAGAGAUAAUCAAACACGCUGGUACCAUUAGAAAGUCAUUAUUACCAACCACAUCAACGGUCGGCUGCCACUAGAUUGCAAAACCAUGCCGCACGCGCACCUGCUGCUACAAUGUCAAACCACGCUGCAAAGUCAGCUGUUGCAGAGCAGCCAUGAAGCGGGACAACCAUUGCUUCUCCAAAUUAUUGUUGCUGCUGCUAUUAAAAUGAUGAUGUUAGUGUUUGGAUAUUUGAAACCAAUUCGGUCUUGGGUUAGGGUUUGGUAGAUUGAGAUCAAUUUGAGUUAGAUUUUGGGAAAUUAAUGUUCAUUCGGUUAGCGCUUAAUAAUUUGAUGAUUUUUUUUUAUUGCAAUUUGAUGCUAAUUCGCGUAAGAGUUUUAUAAUUUAUCUCAAAAUUUUAGCUUUUAUCUUAUUGGAGGAUCAUGAUUUUCUCUUGAUCUGAUCUCCUCCUGAGCAAACAUACAUGUGGUAAUUGGUAGUUAAUAAAAUAAAAAAAAUAAAAAAGUUAAAUUCUAUCAAUACACUAUCACUUAAAGACACAUAUCACAAGAUUUUUAAAAACUCCUAAGAGCUCAUAUUAAGAGUGGAAUUUUUUUUUUCCUUAUUGGAAGGGUUAUUUGACGUUGUGACAAUGGCAAAGGGCAUUGGAAAUAGCAUUCCCCUUGGUGCGCAUUAGUAACUACUCCAGAGGUUGCAGAGGCCUUGACUCGUGGCAGUUACUUCAACGCCUUUGGUGGGAAUCCCGUAUGUACAGCUACGGGGCACGCUGUUUUGAAAGAUAAGCUUCAGCAUAAUGCCCAUGUUGUUGGAUCCUAUUUGAAAGAAAGACUCACUGCACCUAAGGAUAAAUAUGGAACUAUUGGAGAUGCGAGGGGAUGGGGAUUUAUGCUUGGAGUUGAAUUUGUCACGGAUAGCCAAUUGAGAAAGGCUGAAACUCUAGAUGUAAUGGACAAAAUGAAACGUAUAUGUGUUUUCUUCUUCUCUCAGCAAUAAUCCAGCCAUAUUGCUUUAAGAUUCUAGCUACAUAGAGACCUCUUUGUUAUAGAAAUGGGAGUAUUGAUCGGCAAAGGUGGAUUUUAUGGAAAUGUUUUCAGAAUUGCUCCUCCUCUUUGCUUCACAAAAGAAGAUGCUAGUAGGUCUUUUUAUACCCAUAUUGUUGCCUCGUAUCAUUUACUGCCCAAUGUGAAUAUAUCAUGUGUUUCUUUGGUUUCAGAUUACCUUGUAGAUGUCAUGGACUGCUCAAUGACGAAGAAGUGAAGCCUUCGAAGUAAGUGUGGAAAAAAGAGUGUAUCUGAUCAUUCACAACUUGGUCUAAAUUAAAACUGUAUUAAAAUUGUAUUACUUAAUAUCUGUUGUGAGUAAAAGUAUUAAUACACAUAGGUUACUGCUUGAAUAUCUAGCUUGUUGCUACGAUACUAAAAAGCGAUGAGUCAACAACACUCUGUCUCUCGCUCUCAAACUCUCUUGGUUUUACUUGAAUUAGCUUCUGAACAUUGUCUCUCUUGCUUCUCGCUUGUUGAACUCAUAUUUCUUUUGCAUUUGGUUGAGAAUAUCGGGAUGGAAAGUGAGCACUGUAAAAUUACCACAUGAAAGCAUCAAUGCAGAAGAUAAUAAAAAGGGCAAAAAACUCAUUCUAAUUUUUUAUUUCUAAAAUGUCUACAGACUAAAUUAUAAUAAUGGACAAAUGAAUUACUCAUUAAAACUCUCUUAUUUCCUAGCUCAAACCCAGUACAAGAUUAUCAUCAACCGAAUAUAUUCAGUUACUUUUGAAUAUUUACAAAACAUGUGUAACCACCAUGCAUCAGUUACAAAAGAAACAUUGAUGCCAAAAUAAUUAAUUCACUAUUCCAAUUUAUAUUUGAUUAAGAUACAAUUAAUUAAAAAAAGGAGAAGAAAUUUUAUCAUUUUAGAAAACAAAGUACAUAAAAUAUAUUUAUUCAGGAAAAAUAGUCUUGUAAUCAUAAGUUUAUUAAGGGUUUAUUUGGUAUCUAGAUAGGUUUGUAGAGUAAAAUAUGAAUUUUCAAAUUGUUAUGGUGGAUUUUUUAAUUAAUGAGUUUAAUAAGUAUUUUAGUGAAUUCAAAUAACCUCAUUCUUUAUUAUUUCUACUACUAUUGUAUUUUUAAAUUUCUAUUUAUAAAAUUACAUUUUCAUACCAAUGAUAAUGAUAUAAUCUGAAUUUUUUUAAGAAGAAAUAGGCAAAUUAAAUUAUGGUAAUACUUAUAAAUGAAUUGUAAAUACAAAAGGAAGCAAGGGGUCAAGUGAAAUUUAGCGUCGCAAAAGACAAAAAUAUGCGGAACUUACCACGGUGCUUGCGUUACCGAUGACAAGAAAAUUGGAUUUUCUUGUCAUUCCAAUUUCAUAUUUAGCCGAGUGUCGUGUUUUCUUAUGGUGCAACUCUGAAGUCUGAAGGUUUCAGGAUUCGGCUCUGUUUUACUUGAAUGAAACGAACGUGAAAGAGGACGGCUCUUGUUUGAUGAUUCAGCUAAAUAUGAAAUGGAUAAGAUGAAUUAGACGGACAGAUGUCACCCGACUAAAUGAGUAAGCACAAGAGAGCUGUAUUUAAAAUUUUAAUGAAUGACUCGGCAACUAAGUAAAUAACUAACUAACCAACCAACCAACUCAUUAGGGACCUGUCUAUGGUACAGAUUCUGUAACAAACAUCUCCCGUCAUCCCACCAUCCGAUUUUCUAUUGUUUAGUUUCUCACUCCACAUCCAACGGCUGAUGCUGCAGUCUGUAGCUUACAGAUUCUGUAAGCUAGUCAAGUCCACUCAUUAGUCGCUAACUUGCUGGCACCACUUGGCAAGAACAUUGAGGCGGAGCAUGCGUUGCUGAGUUUUCACAAUAUACUUCAACAAGUUAAUCUUCUUAUCGGUAUCGGACUCCUCGCCGGUCUUCGAUUUCUCCACCAGCUCUUUGAGCGACGCAAAUGAAUCCUCCGCCGCACGACUCCCCAGAGACGAAAACGGCACCGUUUGCUGCCCUAACUCCCCCAUUUUUAGGAAAUUCCCAUAAAUUUUGGCUUUUUUUUAUAUUACCUUUUAACUAAACAUUUACAAUUCACUAAUGGUGUGUUUACUUGUGGGUUUAGGGAAUGAGAAUGAAGAAAUGAGAAUUAACUUGAUAAAAUAUAUUUUGAGAAUGAAAAUAAAAUAUAUGGGUCUUACAUAAUUUAAGAAUAAAGAAUUAGAAUCUCAUUUCCACGAGGGAUUGAAAAUAAAAAUGUGAGAAUGAGAAUGAAAUAUAAAUUUAUUUUUUUAUUAUUCUAAUUUUUUUAUAUUUCCUAAAUUACCAUUGUUUAAAUCAUAAAUAAUUUUAUUAUUUUAAAUGUCAUUAAUAAUAAUUAUUAUUAUUAUUAAAUUUUAUUAUUUUAGUUAUUAACAAUCUGCNNNNNNNNNNNNNNNNNNNNNNNNNNNNNNNNNNNNNNNNNNNNNNNNNNNNNNNNNNNNNNNNNNNNNNNNNNNNNNNNNNNNNNNNNNNNNNNNNNNNNNNNNNNNNNNNNNNNNNNNNNNNNNNNNNNNNNNNNNNNNNNNNNNNNNNNNNNNNNNNNNNNNNNNNNNNNNNNNNNNNNNNNNNNNNNNNNNNNNNNNNNNNNNNNNNNNNNNNNNNNNNNNNNNNNNNNNNNNNNNNNNNNNNNNNNNNNNNNNNNNNNNNNNNNNNNNNNNNNNNNNNNNNNNNNNNNNNNNNNNNNNNNNNNNNNNNNNNNNNNNNNNNNNNNNNNNNNNNNNNNNNNNNNNNNNNNNNNNNNNNNNNNUUAAUUUAAUAAUAAUAAUAAUAAUAGGGUCAGGCUUCAGUGCAACUGUGGCAUCGUGCCAUAGUUGCACCAGCCGUUGGAUCCACUCAAAUGAGUGGGGUCCACUUAAAUAAGUGAAAAUUCAACAAUUGAGUGUAAUUAUGUCACGAUACCACAGUUGCACCACAAUUUUAUCCAUAAUAAUAAUAAUAAUAAUAAUAAUAAUAAUAAUAAUAAUAAUAAUAAUAAUAAUAAAAGUUAAUAAAUGUCAAACAAGAGCCGUCCUCUUUCACGUUCCUUUCAUUCAAGUAAAACAGAGCCGAAUCCUGAAACCUUCAGACUUCAGAGUUGCACCAAAAGAAAACACAAACAAACAAUGGAGAAAAUAGAGCAUACAACAGUGGGCACUAACGGCAUAAACAUGCACGUGGCAUCAAUAGGGACCGGCCCAGUAGUUCUCUUCAUUCACGGCUUCCCUGAACUCUGGUAUUCCUGGCGCAACCAGCUCCUCUAUCUCUCUUCCCGCGGCUACCGCGCCAUUGCCCCAGACCUUCGCGGCUACGGCGACACCGACGCCCCGCCCUCGGUCACGUCGUACACGGCACUCCACCUCGUCGGUGACCUCAUCGGCCUUCUUGAUAAAUUGGGUAUCCAUCAAGUUUUCCUAGUGGGUCAUGACUGGGGUGCUUUGAUUGCUUGGUAUUUUUGUUUGUUUAGGCCGGACAGAGUCAAGGCCUUAGUCAACAUGAGCGUCCCCUUUCCUCCCAGAAACCCGGCUGUGAGACCUCUUAAUAACUUCAGGGCUGUCUAUGGUGAUGAUUAUUAUAUCUGCAGAUUUCAGGUAUUUUUUCCUUUUUUUCUUUAACAACAUUUCUGUGCAUGUAUUAAGAAAUAACUCUUAUUGUUGCUCUAGUAAUUCCUUAAAAGUAAUGCACUUGAAUUUAGUUUCAUUGACAAUUGUGCUAUAAUUUUGCUUAAAUUCAUCUUUUUAGCCUAUGAAAUGUUUCAGUUUUAUGCAUUUGUUAAUGAUUUGCGUCAAUAAUUUUGGACAUAAUUUCACUGGAGUUACGAAGAGCAAGAGAAAUUGGGAAGAACCCAUUUUCUAGCUGUUCACUUGGUUAUUGUUUGUGAUGAUUAUUCAAUAUGUACAAUGUUUUGGGAUUGUUUACCAUUAACUAUUUGCUGUAAGCAUGGACUUGAAUAUGGUGUUUUCACACAAAAACUGGCUUUCGGGGCCAAACCCCGUAAAGAAGACACAAUGGCACUAUGUUACUGUAGGCAAGUUAUUUAGACAUAUUCUAAACUGCUGUAUGCAUUUGCUUUUCGAAGCAUGGAAAACUAUUAUCUGCUUUGCGGGUUUGUGAAAUUACAAAUUUGUACCUUACAUACUUUAGGUAGAUGGAUGCGUUCUUCUAUAUUUGUCUUUGUGAGUGUCCAAAAUAGAUGAACAAGAGUGUUAUUCCUCACAAGUCCUACAUGCCAAAUUCUCAUUAAGUGUGCUUUAGUGACAGAUAAUUGAUUAUUGAUGGAUCACCUAAAUUCUCUCUCGUCAGUCGGUACCAAGGAAUGACUUGGCAUUAUUCCUUUAUUCUCAUUAAUCUAUCCAAAACACUAAAUUAUGUCAGAAGUUUGUCAGAAAUCUUGAACCAAAUAAGCUACUGGUGGCACAUGUGAGAGAUCCCUUCCCUAUUCCAAUUAGAUAUUCCCUCAAAUAAAUCUCUCUUUCAAUCAGAUAGGCAUGGUAGUAACAAUGAAGGUGAAUUUGUUUCGUUUGACUGACGAGUGAUAUUCCUAAAGUUAAGUCCAAGAAGAUUAAACGUACAAGCAUUGCAAAAUGUGUGCCAUGGGUAUGUUUUGCAAUAUAUUGUUGAUUUCCUCCAGUCAUGAAAACAGUGGUUGUAUCCUCUUGAUCAGUGUUAAAAUUGUGAGCAAAACCAUUAUACUUGGAAGCAAUGACACUGAAGUAGAUUGUAAUUUGAUUUUGGUUCUAGAAUAGUUCCCAAAUGUUGCUCUAAUCUUCAGUAUUCGUACUCUAGAAGCAUCUAUUUAAGUGCAUCAUUCUCAAAUCUCAUGAGCUGAUUCUCGUUCAAAACAUUUCUAACUUCUGCUGUAGGAACCUGGAGAGAUUGAAGAAGAGUUUGCUCAGAUUGAUACUGCAAGACUUAUGAAGAAAUUUCUGUGUUUGCGCAUUGCAAAACCACUUUGUAUACCCAAAGAUACGGGACUCAGUACUGUACCGGAUCCUUCAGCCUUGCCCUCUUGGCUUUCAGAAGAAGAUGUCAAUUAUUAUGCCUCCAAAUUUAACCAGAAAGGCUUCACAGGACCAGUGAAUUAUUAUCGAUGUUCGGAUCUGUAUGUUCCAAAAACUUAUACCAUGGCUAUCAUAAUUAAAGAGUUAGUUAUCAAUCUUUUAUCUGGACAAAUUGGCGAUUAAUCUUUUUGACAGUAUUUUCUAGUAGUCGAUGAAUACAUUUUAUGUAGGGCCAAUCUUGCCUUUCAUCAUGUACCUUACUGUUAUUUUCUAGAAAUUUCUUAUUUCAUCUGCGUAUAAUUGGUGAUCUUUGAUCCAUGUCUGAGACUGAUAUGAAACACCGAACUCACACAUUCAUGACUACUUUCAUGGCUGGAAGUAUCAGGACAUGUUAUGGAUGUCCCAUUUUCAAAUCUUGUUUUGGUAUCUAGGUGGCACAUAAUUUUACUAAUACUAGUGUAGUUAUUGGAUACUUUAUAUGAAAACAAUAUGCUGCCUAUUGUGGAGUACGGUAUAUUUAAGUAAUUUUUCUCUUUCUUAUAGAAACUGGGAGCUGAUGGCGCCAUGGACUGGGGUACAAAUCGAAGUACCAGUCAAGUUUAUCGUGGGUGACCAGGAUCUUGUCUAUAACAACAAAGGUAUGAAGGAAUAUAUACACGAUGGUGGCUUCAAGAAAUAUGUACCAUAUUUGCAGGAAGUAGUUGUCAUGGAAGGGGUAGCUCACUUUAUCAACCAAGAAAAGGCAGAAGAAGUCGGUGCACACAUCUAUGAGUUCAUCAAGAAGUUCUGAUGUAGCUUUGUCAUUGACCAUCUCAGCAUGCCAUGCAUCUCCAUAAGAGUUAUGAUCUAAAGUUUCAUUAAUUCCACCAUACCAACAGUCUAGGCCUUGUCUACUCCAGACUAUGUAUCUUGUAUUGUUCUGUUUGUCUCUGAAUAUAUGUGUUGUAGUUGUAGGACUUGCCAUAUCUAAGACAAAGGAAGAAUAUGCCCGUUUGGACUUAAAUGAGAAUAUAUGGAAGAUGUAAAAUACCAUUAACAGAGUGUGGCUUCGGUCUAAUCAAACAUCGAAACUCAAAUGUUGGUCGUAAGUAAAUCUUUUCCUUACAGUUUUAUCUGUCGGAAUUGCUUAUCAACUUAUCCCCAAUAGAAAGACUGCAAAUUAUCUAGUAUGUUACCUUUUUCAAUAUUUUGUUACAAGAAGGAUGUCUUCUUGCAAAGGAAUGUGACUAAUGAGACUAUUAUUUAUAUUUCACCAUAUGAGACAAUUAGACAGGAAUGGGACUAAUGAGACUAUGAUUUAUAUUUCACCAUGUGAGACAAGGCUUAAUUUUCUGUUCUUGCAGAAACCGGGAGCCAAUAGCUCCAUGAACCGGGUUUUCAUAUCGAAAUACCCAAUCAUGGGGGAUCUGGAUGCUACAUUUAUCGGACCAGGUAGCUUCAAGAAAGAUGCUCCAGCUUUGCAGCAAGUUGUGCUGUCAGUUUCUCAACCAAGAAAAGCCAGACGAAACCAGUGCGCACAUCUACUACGUCAUCAGAAAUUUCUAACCGCGUUGGCCCGUCUCUCCUAUAAUUCCAAUCCCGAUCUCGCCGUUUAUGAAUUGCAUUUUCUAGUCAUAAGCCACCCUAUUAUUUUGGUUAGUCAUAUUCUCUACUAUAAAAUCACCAAGAAUCACAUUAACAGUAUUCAACAAGAAAGCUUUUAGCAUGUCAAAGCCAUAUUAGUUGUAUUAUAGUUGCGGGACUCAGGGAGGGAGGAAAAAAAGAGUAAAGGAAGAAAAACUGUAUUUUCUAGGUAUUUUUAGAUUAAGAAAUGAUUUAUAUAUUAUUCUAACCUAAAUUUUGUACUUAAAUUUUAGACUCAAAUCUUAAACCAUUGAUUUUAAACAAUCUAACGGUGGAUGAUAGUCGUGAUUAAAUACUACGUUGAAUUUCAUUGUCGACCAUUGAAUUGUUUAAAAUUUGUGGCUCAAAAUUUACGUAAAAAUUUUAAGUUAAAAAUUGAAGUAGCUCGGCCCAUAAGAAAUUAUAAUUUAUAACAAGGGCAUUUUCAAAACUAAGGCAAGUGCUAACAGUCCUAACUCCCGCAAUAAUUUAUCCUAAAAGAAACCGAAUUAGGCAAAUUGUGAGCCCCUUUCAAUUGGAAAGAGCUACUACAGAGUAUAGACCUGAAGUGAUCAGAUCAAUGCUAAUGUAAUUGCAUGUAUAGGGUUCCCAGUUCACUUCCCAGAGUCUGCUCACAUAACUUGACAUGCUUUCUGCAUAUAUAUAGCUGCUGAGAGCUGGAGUACGCCAUGAAUGAUAACGUAAUUCUUAAUAUUUUUAUAUUGAUUGAUGGAUCUACUACUGAGAAGAAAUAUAGCUAAAAACAAACUAUCGUACCAUGCACAUGCAUUUAUUGAUGUUAAUCUAAUUGCAUAUAUUGUAGUCAGUGGUCACAAACUAAUGGUGCUGCGUCGUUGCUCUUUCUUUUUCAUCUUUCCAUAAAAGGAAUUUGGCUAAAAAUAACAGAAGAAAACAAUAACAAAUUAAAUAAAAGUUCGUACAUAUCAUAGCUGUAUUCUAGACAAGGAAAAUAACCAAGCUACCUACUCUAGCAGUCUCAUUGCAAGUUACAACAGCUGCGCCAUGGCUCUCUUGAACACAGUGUGUCCUGAUCCUAGCAAUCAAGCAUGCAUGAAUGUAUACAAUCACUCAGUCUGAAAUUAAUCCGAUCACAUGCAUUUUCUAAUCGGUUCGGCUAAUAUAAUAUUUAGUUAGGGUCAGAAUCUAUUAGAUUGGGGGUGGUAUAUGGGCAAAAACUGCAAAUUGUACUUGUUUUGGUUCCUGAAUACAUAAAUGGGAAGCCGGGAAGGGCCAUCACUGCUCAAUUGACUGACGGGAGCUGCUACCUUACGAGUGGGGUUCACGGGUCGGUUGUGUGAGGGGCUGUACCUUGCGUCUUACGUUAAACCUAAGGUGGCAAAAUCCUUGAGUUAAUUGUGGCGGAAUCAGUUCCCGACAAGACAUCACAUGGGCACAUCCGCACAUGUACUAGAAGCCCAAGUCAUAAUUUACUGGACCAUGAAAGAUGGUGGGUGGACCUUAAUUCAACAAAAGAUAAAAAGAAAUGUCCUUUUCGGUGUGCGGUGUGGGGGAGUGUCAUUAUUGUUUAAUUACCCUAACAAUUAUAAAAUAUCAAAUUAGUACAAGAAAUGUUAUUAUUUAUCAUCUUAUUAUUAUAUUUUAUAAAAUCUGUUAUUUUAUUAUGUUUUCCUUAGUGUCUUUAAUUGACCAAUUAAUUGACUAAUAUUUCAAUACUGUAGUGCUUUGCUUUUUUUGGACAAAAAUUUUCAUUAAAAGGUAAAAUUAUUAUUUUAUUAGUUAAUUAACUAGUCAACUAAUAGUGCUAACAAAAAUGUAGUAAAAUGAUCGGUUUUGUAAAAAUAAAUUUGUAAAACAAUAGAUUACAAUAUUUUUUCUUGUCAUUUGAUAUAUUGCAUUCUUUUAAUAAAAAAUAAUUAUAAAAAGUUCAAAUAAUUUUUAAAAUUUUCAAAUAAAGAAGAAUUUUAGAAAUUUAAUUAAUUAAAUCUAUCUUAAUUUUUUUGUAACUUAGAUAUUUAAUUAUAUUUGACUACUACGAUUGCUUUAACCUAAGUUGAAAUUGGUUAUUUUACCCUUAUAAUAUAAAAGUGCCAAUAAUUUACUUUUAACGUUAAUAGUACUUUUUUAUUUUUUAUACAAAGCUCAUUAUUUCUAAAUAAUGUGUCAAUACUAUUAGUAUGAUCAUCAAUCUUUAAUUAAAAAAUAUAACGACUUAUGGUGUAAUACUCAUGUAAAUUAUUGAAUUGUCAAAUUUAUAUAAUUUACAUAUAGGAUAUUAUAAUUUUUUAUAUUUUAUUUUAAAAUGUUUAAUUAUAGGUCACAAAAUUAAGUACCUAAAUUGUUAGAUACAAAAAUAUAUAUUUAUUGGGGCAAUUUUUCAUAUUAUUUACGAGGGUAAAAUAGUGGAAUAAAACUUAUAUUAAAGCAAGUUGUAUAGUCAAAGAAAUGUAAAUGAAAAAAUUUCAGUAUUAAUUUAUAUUUAUUAAAAAUAAUAUAAACUUGCAGUAAAUAUUUUUUAGAAGUGGGGUGGGUUUACACAGGUAGUGCGGUGAAAAUAUCCCCACACUUGCUAAAAUAGUGAAACAAUAAUGUUUUUUUGUGUUAAUUUUUUAUACUAUUUUCUUUACAAAUAUUGUUAUUGCAUAAAUAAAUAAAUAAAUAAAAAGAAAACAAAUCAGGUAUCCACAUUGAUAAUUUGAUAAUUUCCUUGACACUACAUUCAAUCAAUUCAUAGCCAAUUACAAGGGUUGGGAUAUUUCUAUCCCACUACUUAUGUAAAUCCAUCCCAAUUUAAAAAUAUAAAUGUCAUAAGUUUACAUUAUUUUUAAAAUAUACAAAUCAACAAAAAAAAUUAUAAUAAUUAAUCAAUUAAAUCCUUCUUAUUCAUUUUUUUUUGUUUUACAUAGGUAUCUUUACUUAUUAUUAUUGCUUUAAGAUAAGUUUUAUCUGACUAGUUUAUCAUAGCAAUAUAAAAUAAUCAAAUUACUUUAGAAAAAGCAUAUGUUAUUAUUUCUAAUAAAUAGAUAUCUAAUUUUAUUUGAUCAAAUAUCUAAGUUUCUUCCUUUAUUUAUAAUUUUAAAGAAUAACAUAGAAUUAUUAUAAUAAUUUUUUUUUUUUCAAAGUGAGGUCGGUUUGUUGGUGAAAAUAUCACCUCCCCAAGUAUAUAAGAGGAAGCAGAGCAAGGCUUGUCGGCGUCCAAAUCCUUUAAUCAAAAACUUACAAUUUCAACCCCACCCCUUUAUUCUAUUAAUAUAUUUACAAUUGCAAUUACUUAAUUCGUUUUCAGAUUUCAGAAUACUUAGCUUGUAUAUGUCAUUUCAGUCUAAUUAAAUACUCCCAAAAAAAGGAAAAAGCCUUUUUCAACAAAUUAGUUAUUUGGCUGCCUAUUUUUAGCAUGCAAACAUCUUGUAACAUUUAGGUCAUAUUUAAAAUUGAGGUGGUGUAACUUUUAAAUUAUAAUUGAUGUAGAAAAAAAAUUGUAAUUAUGAAGCAAAAGUUAAUACUAUAUAAUAAAUAUACAUUUUAAAUAAUAAUUUUGAUAAAAUUAUUAAAGAUAUAAUAUAUUUUUCAUUAUACAAGUAAAAAAUCACAUCAACAUAACUUCUAAGAUACAGCAGUUUGUGUUUACCAAACACCUUAGUCUGUCUAACCUCAAUCUCAAAUAAACUCUUAGUACUACGAAUUUGGAACCUGAAAAUCAUGAACACCAAAAGGACAUUUGGGUGUGGAAAGUCGUUAAAUGAACUCAUUUAUGCAUUUGAUAGCAAAAUUUCCUUAGUUAAUAUUUAGUGCUGAAUAUCAAUGUGCAUUGAAGUGACUAUUCUUAAAUCAAAUUAACAAUUAAUAAUUAAGUGUUUAUGAGCUUAAGAUACCGUUAAAAUUGAAACUUCUAUAAAUAUAGGUAGAUCCAUCAAGGCUCAUGAAGUGCUUCAGCUCUUUUUAUGCCAUUGUUUUUUCAUGUAAGUAUGCUUAAGCCCCUUCUGAAAGCGUCAAAUAAAAAUUUUGACCCCAUUUUCUACAAAACAAAAUUUUUAUAGUUCAAUCAUAAGAAUUCUAUUUAGUGGUUUUUGAAACAUGGUAGUCCAAUUUAAAAUAAAUAAAUUAUGUUGUUAUUUUUUAAUUUUAAAUAUAUUCAAAUGAACAAUUAAAAAAAUUUCUCAAAUUGAAAUAAAAUUUUUGGAACUAAGCCCGCGCCGCCUCUCACCUCCUCCCCCCAAUUUAAGUAUAUGGGUUCGCCACUGUCUGUAAAUUAAUAAUUUCAUAACCAUACAAAACCUAUUAAUUUAAAGAUGUAUUAAUUAAUCAAUAAAUUAAUAAAUUAAUAAUUUAUAGAUUGUAUAUACAAUUCAUUGAAGGUACAUUAUAAUAAACUAAAAUUCAUUGUAUUUUACCAACCUAAUAAAUUAAAAAUGAAUUAAUCCACUAAAUACAAAUCAAAUUAAUAAAAAGAUAAAGUUCUUGCAAUUUUAGAAUUCAAUUCCAAAGCUUCUAUAAGCAUUAAUUGAAACUAGAUAUGAGAUCCAACUAUAUUUAAAGAAAAAACAAGUAAUAAUAGAGUUACAUUUUAUUUAAUAUAAUAAAAUAAUAAUAUUUAUAAUUUCAGUAAAUUAUUAAUUUAUAAUAUGAAUGAGACCACUAAGUUGUGUAAGAGUUUAAAAAAAAUAUCAUCUUACUAAUUUAUUAAAGCUAUUAACUUAAUUCUUCAGCCCAAGUCAAUAAAACAAAAAAACUAUUAUGUAAUAGAGGUUGUUAAUUUAGUGGGUAUUAAAUGAUAGAUGUUUUACUGUGAAGGAAAACACUAAGGUAGCGUUUACUUUUUAGAUUGGAUUGGGAAUCCUGAGGAGUGGGAAUCCUAGGAUUGGGAGUGUGGAGUGGGAGUGGGAGUAGGUUGUUUACUUACACUNNNNNNNNNNNNNNNNNNNNNNNNNNNNNNNNNNNNNNNNNNNNNNNNNNNNNNNNNNNNNNNNNNNNNNNNNNNNNNNNNNNNNNNNNNNNNNNNNNNNNNNNNNNNNNNNNNNNNNNNNNNNNNNNNNNNNNNNNNNNNNNNNNNNNNNNNNNNNNNNNNNNNNNNNNNNNNNNNNNNNNNNNNNNNNNNNNNNNNNNNNNNNNNNNNNNNNNNNNNNNNNNNNNNNNNNNNNNNNNNNNNNNNNNNNNNNNNNNNNNNNNNNNNNNNNNNNNNNNNNNNNNNNNNNNNNNNNNNNNNNNNNNNNNNNNNNNNNNNNNNNNNNNNNNNNNNNNNNNNNNNNNNNNNNNNNNNNNNNNNNNNNNNNNNNNNNNNNNNNNNNNNNNNNNNNNNNNNNNNNNNNNNNNNNNNNNNNNNNNNNNNNNNNNNNNNNNNNNNNNNNNNNNNNNNNNNNNNNNNNNNNNNNNNNNNNNNNNNNNNNNNNNNNNNNNNNNNNNNNNNNNNNNNNNNNNNNNNNAUUUAUUUUAGACUAUUGUACUGCUGUACGGCCAAGGCGGAUGUACGGUACAGCAGUUAUAAUCAAUGCAAAUUAUUAUUUAGUUAAAUAUAAUAUUAUUAUUCAAAUAAAUAUAAUAAUAUUAUUCAAAUAAAUAUAAUAAUAUUUAUUUUAUUUUAUUAAUUAUAAAAUAUUAAAUUAAAUUAAAUUAAAAAAAAUAAAAGGGUAAAAAAGGGAGAGGUGGGAGUGGAUUCCCACUCCCACUCCCCAGUCCAAAAAUGGGUGGGGCCCACGGAGUGGGAUUCCCACUCCCUUCCCAUUUAGAGGAAGUAAACGCUGGAGUGGGAGGAAUCCACACUCCUCACUCCCACUCCAGCAAGUAAACACAACAUAAAUAACAUGGUCAGAAAUUGAGAGGUUUGUGUCCAAAUAAUGGGAAAAGGACAUUCAACCCCUCAACAUUUAAGAAAAGGGAUAAAAAACCCCUCAACAUUUUAAAAAGGACUUAUAACUCCCUUUUCGUUAAUAAACUUUAUUAUUUUCUGCAGGAAUGGGCACACCAGAAGAAUUUUAUUAGCAACGGUCUUAAUUGUACGCAACCUCCGCAAGGUUCGAAAGGAAGUGUAAAAUGACAACGCAGAUAUUUAUGCCCUUGCUGAUCUGUGAGCAGAUAUGGAAGAAAUGAAUUGUCCUCAUAUGUAAUUUGCUCGGUGGACGUGGUUUAACAUAUCCACAUAUAAAGAUAUAUGCGCUCGAUCGUUGACAGUUAAUUUACAAAUAUUUUAAAGCAAUUAAUUAAAAUAUUCAAAAUAUAUUGAAAUAAUUUUAAAAAUAUAUUAGAGAUAAUAUAAUUAAUUAAUGUGUGUGUACAUAUAUAAAAAAUUUAUAUAAUCAUUACUUAUUAAUUUUUUAAAAUAAAAAAAUAUAUAUAUAAUAUAAUAUUAUUUACUUUUUUAUUAGGGUUAAUUUUGUCCUGCCUCCAACUAUUUUAACAUUUUUCGCCACGCAUCCAUAUGUUUCGAAAAUCCUCACUCCACACUCAAUUUCGUUAAUUUGACCGUUAUGUUUAAUGGAGCUAUUUGAAAUUUAAGUAAAUGUCCGAAAUACCCCUUAUCUUGAAUUAGAGAAAAUAAAAUGAGAUAAAAUGUUAAUUUAAUAAUUAAUGUUUACAUUAAAAAAUUUUAUUUAAAGGUAAUUAAUAAUAAUUUCAUUAAUUAAAUUAUCAAAUAAAUUUAAUUUAUCAUCAUCAAAUAAUAUUUAGGAUAUGAAUUUUUAAAUUUACCCUUUGACCGUUAGAAUAAACGGUCAAAUUAACGGAAUUAGGUGUGGAGUGAAUAUUUUCAAAAUAUAUGGGUGCGUGACGAAAAAUAUUGAAACAGUCGGAUGCAGGAUAAAAUUAACCCUUUUUAUUACAGUAACUCAAAAUUAUUCUAAAAAUUCCCCUGCAGCGCAGAUGCAAAUAAAGUUGCUUUUGAUGCUGUCCUUAUGAGUUCCAAAUACAAGACGUACCAGGUCACUACUAUUCUUCUCUGCUUACUUACAUCUCACUCCUCAGUUUUACUCUCUCCCUCAGAGCUGAACUGAACCACCAAAAAAAAAAAAAAAAAAAUGUAUAGUCCCACUCCCAGUCCCAGGCGAGGAACCAGACUCUUACUUGCUCUCUUACCCAGUUCAGCUAUUUUCUUGCUACUAUUUGUACUAUCAGCUGUAAGUGUAACCACCCUAAAAAAGAACCCCAAAACAACAGAUGCCCCACACUUGCGAGUCCAUAAACAUUUCCAGGUUGCUCAUUCCGCAUGCGAAGGCACACUCUAUCCUGAACUCUGCGUUUCGACUCUGCUUUCAGUCCCAGAUCUCGCUUCAAAAAGAGUCCCUGAACUCAUCUCCGUAACCAUAAACCGCACAUUGUCCGAGCUGAGAGCCUCCUCCUCAAACUGCUCCAGCAUUGGACAGAGUUACCCAAAUUUUAACACCCUUGAAAAGAGAGCAAUCAAUGACUGUCUCGAGCUGUUUCAUGACACCAUUGUUGAGCUCAAAUCAGCUCUCAAUGAUCUCUCCCCCAAGAAAUUGCCCUCCAAGCAUUACCAUGAUUUGCAAACUUUGUUCAGCGGUGCAAUGACAAACCAGUACACGUGUCUUGAUGGGUUCGCUUACAGUGACGGAAACGUGAGGGACGUUAUUAAGAGCAGCUUGUACAACAUUUCCAGGCACGUGAGCAACUCUUUGGUUAUGCUCAAGAAAAUCCCCGGUGAUAACAUGUCUUCCAAGUACGAGGUUUUUCCUGAGUAUGGGCGUAUUAAGAGAGGAUUCCCAACUUGGUUGUCUUUAAAUGAUCGCAAAUUGUUACAGAAGUCCGUUAAUUUGACCAAAUUUGAUCUGAUAGUGGCUAAAGAUGGCUCUGGGAAUUUCACUACCAUUACUGAAGCAGUGGAAGCAGCUCCAAACAAAUCCAAUACUCGGUGGGUUGGAUUGGAUAUUUUCUCGUAUUAUACAAAAUGGAAAUUAUAUCAAUACAUAACAAAAUUUAAUUGCUUUGACAGGUUUGUGAUUUACAUAAAAGCUGGGGCUUAUUUUGAGAACGUGGAGGUGGAUAAAAAGAAGACAAUGUUGAUGUUCGUAGGAGAUGGGAUCGGCAAAACAGUAGUGAAGGCCAAUAGAAGCGUCGUUGAUGGAUGGACUACUUUCCGGUCAGCCACUGUAGGUGAGUUUCAAAAUUUACUUGAAUCUUUUUGUUGGAAAUUCUGAAUUUCUUUCUUUCUUUUCUUUUUGAAUUGAUGUGGACCGAUCGAUGUGCGACAGCGAUCGUAUAUAUUGGUCCAAAUGAUAAAGUGGGGGCGGGACCAUCGAUGAUGUUGGUCUCCCAUCACGGGUUGGUGGGUUACUGACCGUGAGCAUCUUUGCUUGCAGUGAGAUACGUAGGAAGAGUUAUUAAUAAUUAAUAACUUGUAGAUAAAUUAUUUAUCACAAUUGUGAAUCCCAUAAGUGGUGGAUUCAAGUAUUUUUAAGCCACUUAAAUUCAGAUAAUUAAGAUUCUGUCUCCCAAAAGUAAUCAAUAUAUAAACGGUCGUCGGUAGUGGGUUGUGGGCCGUGGAUAGGGGCUCACCAGUCACCAAGCAUGGUUCGUUUCUGAUGCUACGAUUUUGGCAUGUUAUGCUGAGUGAAUUCCAAAACCAGAUGGGUUCAAGUAGGAUCCACAGCUAAAUUUAUGAGGGAUGUAUCUUAUAUUAGCUCAAUAUAUGAGGGAUGUAUCUUACAUUAAUAAUGCAAGGUAGAGAAAUCCUUAAGAUGAAGGCAUUUGCAGUUUUGAGAUGUGGCCGUAAUGAGAUUCGCUUACGAGUGUCGGUAGCAGAGGGACCGCAUCACCUGGUAGCCGUGUUUCUUGGAUCAUUGAAGCGCGUAAUUAAACGACUUUGUCCCAAAAAGAAUCUGUCUUUUCCUUCUUUCUUUUUGGUACUUUUCUGAUUAUCUUUUUGCUUUGCUUAUUCUAAACUUGUCAAGAUCUUGGAUUAGAAGUUGUCAAGAAUUUCAAAUCACAUAAAUCCGGGUGGGUCUUCCUCGUUUAAUUCUUUCCUCAUCUUGGAUAAAUUUAAAUAUACUCUUUUUGGGAAUCUUUUAAUGAAUAAACCAAACGAAUGAAAUGGACUAAGAAUGAUUUUGGUAUAAAAUGAACAUCUCGGGACAUUAUUUAACAAUAUGAUUUUCUCUCUACAAUUUACGUGCCUGACCCAGUUUGUACUUUCUCUUGUCUUAACAAAUCUCAUAAUAUGAUAUAAAAUGCUGGCCUCAUUUCUGUAGUUUGUCCACUGAGAGCUUGAUGCUCAAAUUCUGACAAACUGUCACGCUGGCGUGUGGGUCAGGGUGACGAUAUAAGCAAAUUUUUGUUGGGCUGGACUUGGCCCACGCGGCCCGUUGUGACCAUUAUUAUAACGUGAUUUGUUCUGGGUGCUUCUUGUUGUUUUCAGCUGUCGUGGGGACCGGGUUUAUCGCCAAAGGCAUUACAGUUGAGAACUCAGCUGGUCCAAGCAAACACCAAGCAGUAGCCUUAAGGAGUGGCUCAGAUCUCUCAGCUUUCUACAAAUGCAGCUUCGUUGGGUACCAAGACACUCUAUAUGUUCAUUCCCUCAGACAAUUUUAUCGUGAAUGCGACGUAUAUGGCACAGUUGAUUUCAUCUUUGGCAAUGCAGCUGUGGUGUUCCAAAUCUGCAACUUAUAUGCCCGUAAGCCAAAUGCAAACCAAAAAAAUAUUAUCACUGCACAGGGGAGAGAAGACCCUAAUCAAAAUACAGGGAUAUCAAUCUUGAAUUGCAAAGUUGCUGCUGCUUCGGACUUGAUUCCAUAUCAAACAGAGUUUAAAACAUACCUUGGUCGUCCUUGGAAAGAAUAUUCGAGGACGGUUUUUAUGCUAUCUUAUUUGGGCGAUUUGAUAGCGCCGGCUGGAUGGUUAGAAUGGAAUGGUACAUUUGCAUUGAGUACACUCUUUUAUGGGGAGUACAAGAACAGGGGCCCUGGUUCUAACACGAGUGCCAGAGUGACGUGGCCUGGUUACAGGGUGAUCAAUAACUCGGCUGUGGCAGCUCAAUUUACGGCCGGGCCAUUCUUGCAAGGAAGUGAAUGGCUAAAUUCUACUGGCAUUCCUUUCUAUCUCAAUUUGACUCCUUGAGGGUGAACUUUUUAGUGCCUAUUGUCUGCCGUAGUGCUGAAGGCUCGAGCACUAGCAUUGGAAUGGAAUGAAUUACAAUUAUCCCUUUAGAAAAUUUAUUAUUACUUAUCUAAUAGAAUAAUGGUGUGUUUACUUGUGAGUUUGGAGAAUGGUAAUAAAAUCUAUAUUUAUUUGGCAAAAUGUAAUUUGAUAAUGGAAAUAAAAUGUGUGUAUUCUACAUAAUUUCGGAAUAAGGAAUGGGAAUUCCAUUCUCACGAGAGGGGUUGGGAAUGGAAAUGAAACAUAAAUUUACUUUUCUAUCCUUCUAAUUUUUUCAUAUUUCCUAAAUUACCUUUGUUCAAAUCACAAAUAAUUUAUUAUUUUAAAUGUCAUUAAUAAUAAUAAUAAUUAUUAUUAUUAAAUUUUAUUAACUUUAUUAUUUUAGUUAUUAAUUAUUAUUAUUAUUAUUAUUAUUUUCAUUAAUAUUAUCAUUAUUAACAAUAUUAUCCUUAUUGUUGUUGUUGUUCUUAUUAUUAUUAUUAUUAUUAUUAUUAUUAUUAUUAAAUUUUAUUAAGUUUAUUAUUUAGUUAUUAUUAAUUAUUGUUAUUAUUAUUUUUAUUAAUAUUAUCAUUAUUAACAUUUAUCAUUAUUAUUAAUAAUAAAAAUAAUAAAAAUAAUUAAUAAUAACUAAAAUAAUAAAGUUAAUAAAAUUUAAUUUUAAUAAUAAUAAUAAAUGUUAAUAAUGAUAAUAUUAAAAAUAAUUAAUAAUAACUAAAAUAAUAAAGUUAAUAAUAAUAAUAAUAAAUGUUAAUAAUGAUAAUAUUAAUAAAAAUAAUAUUAACAAUAAUUAAUAGUUACUAAAAUAAUAAAGUUGAUAAUAAUAAUAAUAAUAAUAAUAAUAAUAAUAAUAAUAAUAAUAAUAAUAAAUGUUAAUAAUGAUAAUAUUAAUAAAAAUAAUAUAACAGUAAUUAAUAAUAACUAAAAUAAUAAAGUUAAUGAAAUUUAAUUAUAAUAAUAAAUGUUAAUAAUGAUAAUAUUAAUAAAAAUAAUAAUAACAAUAAUUUAUAAUAACUAAAAUAAUAAAGUUAAUAAAAUUUAAUAAUAAUAAAUCAAGAAAUCUUUCUUGAUCCUCAGUUGGUUGUUUUAAAGAAAUUAAAAGAAAACCCCAGUCCUACUAUCAAAGCAUUUUAGAAAUCACUGAUUCAGUUAAGUUCAAACAUUUCUUUCUCAGUGAAUCACAUUCAGAACCAGCCUAUUCCACGGCUACUAUUUUAAAAGUUUUGAGCCCAAACCAAUGGAUUAUUAGCCCUUAGGAAAAAACUUUGAAAUUGCUUGGAAAUGAUCAGCAUGGUAUCUUUUAAGGGAUCCAUCCCAGUUGAAUUAAUUUUUAAAAUUUCUUACAAAGCCAUGAUUUCUGCAUUUAGCACACAGCAUAAAUACCAGUCGAAAAGAGAUGAGACCCUUCUCUUGCAGACUGAUUUGUCCAAAGGAAACACGGUCAUUCCUAAACCAAUCCAAUGGAAAGAUGUAAAUCUUCCAGAGGAAUGGAUCCUUGAAGGUGCCGCUCCACCAGCGAUUCCGAAACAACUUAAGCCCAAUACAGAGUUGCAAAAUGUGACUCAGUAUUCCGAUGGUAAAGUCAAACUGUCAUUCAGGAGAUCUACCUCAUCCAGAUUUUCUGAUAAAGCGUCGUGCUCAAGCAUUCCUUCAUUAGAAAGGAAAUUUACAAAAAUACCCUCUGUUAUAAAUCUCCCUUUUCAGUCCAUAAAAAGUCAACCUACAUAAAAAGUCAUUUUCUACUUCAGAUAUACCUAGUACCUCCAUUCGUUCAGUUGAUUAUACCACUAGUGUUCCUCAUCCAAUCUACACUAGUAGUCAACAUUUACAAAGUCAGGAAGAGAAGGAACCUUCUCCUCCAACUUCUCCUACAUUUUUUGCUGUUAUGGAAAAUGUUAUUAAUGUCAUUGAAAAAGACUUUGAAUUGGAUAAAACAUUUCUUCAUAAUGAUUUUUAUUCUGAUUUAAACAAAGAAAAAAGAAUUUGGUUCUUCAAACAUUUUUUAAAUCAAAGAAAAGAAAUCCAACAAACUUAUUAUGAAUUUGUGAAUUUUCAUAAAAUUCAUAUAUGAACAACAUCUCUUAUCCCUUCAAAGAGUCAAACCCUAUUACUAUUAGAAAGAAAAUCACUGAAUGGAAUCUUACUGAUAGUAAUAGAUCCAUCGAGUUUGAACAUCCACCUCUUAGGAGUAUAGCCGUAAAUCAUGGUGAACCUCCUAUCGAGAUUAGAGCAUCACCUUACAAAAUCCCAAAACCAAAUGAUACAGAUGCAAAUUUAAGUAGUAUUAUCCAACAGAAUAAUUUCUGUAAUACUGACUUAAAUACAAUCGGAAAGCAGUUGACUAUGAUAGAAAACCAAAUCCAGAAGUCAACCAUUAUUGUUCCAUCAAUUUCUCCUAUUCCAACAAAAUCGGAUUCUGACAAAAAGCUUAAGAAACCUAUUUUCAAACCCUUUCAGGUUUCGAAAACUAGCCAAAAGCUUGUUCAAGAGUCAAAAUCAGAUUUUGCUAAAGCCAUUAGAGAACAAUUAGAACAAUAGAUAAUAGACCAAGUGCAUUAAAUCAAUCCCAAUAUAAUGCAUCUUCAGUCUAUGAGUGGAAUAUUGACGGCAUAUGUUUACUUUUGUAUUCCUCUAAUUUUUUCAUAUUUUCUAAAUUACCCUCAUUCAAAUCACAAUUAAUUUUAUUAUUUUAAUUUAUCAAAAAUUUAUUAUUAUUUUAAAUGUCAUUAAUGAUAAUUAAUAAUAUUAUCAAAUUUUAUUAACUUUAUUAUUUUAGUUAUUAUUAAUUAUUGUUAAUAUUAUUUUAUUAUUAAUAAUAAUAAUAAUAAUAAUAAUAAUAAUAAUAAUAAUCAUCAUCAUCAUCAUCAUAAGAACAACAACAACAACAAGAAAAACAAUAAUGAUAAUAUUGUUAAUAAUGAUAAAUUAAUUAUUUUUAUUAAUUAUUAAUACUAUGAGUAUUUUGGUAAAUUGAUUCACAUUCUCAUUUCCCAUUCUCAUUUAUUUUUGCCAAGUAAACAUUGAAAUCUCAUUCAUAUUCCAGCUCAUUCACAUUCCACCUCAUUUCCAUUCCCAUAAAGUAAACGCACUAUAAAAGUUAUAUUUUAUAAAGAUUUCAUUGUUUUGUGCCCCGAUCAAAGUUCAAUUUCUCUACAAGGUGUAAGUUGUGCAAAGUGUUAGGCUCAAGCUACUUGCACUCUGAAAAUUAUUCUCUAACAUUUUAUUAUUGCAUACACUGAUCUAAUAAAUUAAAAAAUAAAUUUUAUUUUAUAUACUUUUAAAAUACAAAAAAAUAAAGAAAAUAAAACCUUUACUUAAACCAAUUAAAUUAAUUAUCCUUAUUUACUCAAAAUACAAAUAAAAAUGUUUAGCGCACCCAAAUAAAGUUUUUAAGAAAUCUAAUAUAUGCUUAUAAUACUGAAAACAAUUUAAGUCUGAAAAAAAAAUCUUAAUACAAUUUGAGUAAUUAAUUAUGGUUUAUUGAAGAAUGUGUUCAAUAUUGUUUUUGCUCCCCAAAGAAGAUGUUCAAUAUGGUUUGCAGUGCAAUCGAGAAAGGAGAAGAAGUUUGGGGUUUACAUACAUUUAAUUUUUAAUUUCUUUGAAAAUCAAUAGCAAAAAAGAUGGCCAUCUUAACGGUCUUUUUAUUUAAAAAAAAAAUUGAGAGGGUCAUUAAGCACUUUAAUUUAAUAAAAUAAUAUAUUACAAAUAGCUCAACCUAAAAUAUUAAUGGUUUCUUCCCAAUUUAUUUCACCAGAAUCACCACCGAACUGUUAUAAUUUAUCUUAGAUGGCUAUGCAACACAUCUGUAAAUAGAUUUUGAUAUUUGAAUUUUCAUUUGAGUUGGACCGGCUGGCCUAUGCUUUUACAUUAAAACCUAAACCAAUCUCAACAAAAUUAUUAGACACGACCCAAUAUGCCUAAGGUCCACAAAAAUAAAUGAAUUCAUUAAAAUAUUCAAUAAAUUCACUUUUUAGUGAAAAAAAAUUACUACCAAAAUAUUCCAAAUGUAAACUACAAUUUUAGACAAGAUAAUAGGGUUAAAUAAAGUUUUAAAAGAUUAUUCCUCGCAAUCUACCAUAUUGAUCUCUUUUACAUUGUUUUCUUGUUUUGUUCGACGGGCAUUCAAAUAAUUACGAUAUAAAUUCAGUAAUCUACGAAAUGUUCUUUUGUCAAGCAAAGUCUUGGAGGAACAAAAGUCAUUUUUUUCCCCCCUUUUUUUCUCACGUGCUCCUCUUUAAUGCAACAAAGACCGAAGGAAGUUGGAUUUGGCUUAAAAUUUGUACUUGGGAAAUAUCCUCUUGGAUUUGGCUAAUAGGCUCUCUUCAUAGCAUAGUUUUUUUGGGAUUUAAGUGGUACAUUCUCUCUUUCUAAAUUAAGAUUUCUGCAUAUUGAAAAUAAAGAAAAGGAUUCUAUGAGAAUCUGCAAAUAAAUGGUGAGGAGAGAACUUUUGCCUACUCAAUGGGAUUUUCAUAAUUUUGAGUUUAUGAGUUAUGACAGUACAUGUUACAUCCUAUAAAAAAAAAAAAAAAAAACCAUAGAGGAAAAAAGAUUGAAUUAGAGAGUCAACCUUGCAUAUAUGUAAUGGUGAAAAUCUAAAAAAUAAUUGGUGAGAUAAAAAUUUGGGGGUAAUCAGGCAUAUUUUUUGCAAGGUUACUUUUGCAACUGAUUUCAUAAUUAAUUGAGUUCAUACUCAUUGGAUUCGUUAGUAUUUCUUAGAUUUUUAAGGUUUUCUUUUAGUUUAUCCAGUAUCAUUUAUCUGGAUGAAUAAGAGAUUCCUUAUAUUAGAAAAUAGUUUUUUUUUUUUUUUUGAUAGUUUGCUAUUGACUCCUGUUCUUUGGUAUAUUGUGAUGUUUUCUUAUAUUUUUCUUCCAUUUAAAGGUUUUAAUUUAUGUGCCUCUCCAUAUUUCUUUGCCUUUUGAUGAUCUAAAUUAGAGGUAGGCGUUCCAUCUAACCCCCACCAUCAUGUUGGUCCUUGAGGAAGAAAAAAUGUAUAUCUUAGGGUUGAAGAAGCAAAAAAUAAUAAUAAUAAUAAUUGCAUAAAUUAUGAUAAUUUUGUUUGAUAAAAGUUUAAUAGGUAUUAAGAUGGAUUUACAUAAUAAAAUUAAAAUUUUAAAUUUUGAUGAUGGGUUUGUUAAACAAAUGAAUUUAGUGAAUGUUUUAGUGGGUUAAAACAUACUCAGUCUUCAGAUUAUCUUAUUAGCCUCAUUUUUCAAUAAAUCUAUUUAUUUUGUAAAUUUUAAAAAAUAAAAAACCUGAUUUGUUUUUAAAUUUUUAUCUUUUCUUCCUCAUUUACUGUCGUUGUUCCCACUCACCGCCCAAAUUUUCAAAACGGAUCAGCCUGAAUAAUUUUGCGUUUACUUCUGGUUCCGGUAAAAUUUGCCAAAGAUAUUGCUUUUGACUUUAGGGCAGUAUAUCUGCUUCCAACGGAGUUUCUUUUGAAUCUGAACAGUUGAAUUUCUAAUGUUGCGGAGGUAUGUUAUGGUGCUUGAAAAUGGCUUGUGUUUUCUCUAUUCUUAUGAAUGAUUUGUCUGGAAUUGGCAUUGUUACGUGUAUCUAAGUUCAUCAUGUUUCUGAUCCAAUAGUAUAAAAGUUCGGAGCAGAUGAGAUAUUGAGACUUGAGAGAGAAAGAGAGGCCGAUGACAGAUAGAAGAGCAAUUUUUUAAAUAUUAUUUUUACUUUAUUUUCAUAAGGAUAAUUUUAAAUAUAAAUGAGAUUAUGUGAAAGGUGGGGUUGAGAUUAAUAAGAUAAUUUGAGGCACUACUUGACCAUUUAAUUAUGUUUUUGUUGCGAUAAACCGUUCAUAAAAAGGAAAGAGUCGCCUGAAUCAUCUUUUUUCCUCUCUCUCUUUGUUCUCAUUUAAAAUAAUCGCCACCCAAUUUAUUCACUAAUAAUAAUAAAUAAAUAAAUAACCUCACCCAAUAAUAUGUGCGUUUGAAAUUGAGGUACUGUACCUUUUAAGAUAUAGUUGCUGUAGAAAAAAAACUAUAACUAUAAAAUAAAAUUAAUAAUAUAUAGUAAACGUAAAUUUUAAAUAAUAAUUUUGAUAAAAUUAUUAAAAAUAUAAUAAAUUUUUCAUUAUACAAAUAAAAACUCAUAUCAAUAUAAUUUCUAAACUAAAAUAAUUAAUAUUUAUCAAAUAUUUUAAUAUUGUAUCUUUUAAAAUAAAGCUAUUCAUCUUCAAUCCCAAACACUUUCAAUAUUUUGUGAAUAAACAUUGUGCAAGAGUGGUAGAUCUGUCUUAAUCGCAACUAGGGGUAGAGGGUAUGGUCCCGGGGCAUACAUAUGAUAUGAUGAUACGCGUAGGCCAUAGUCCACGAAGAGUAAUAGUCAUUCCUGCAAGAACCGGAAAUCACGGGAUGUGAGGCUAGAAAUAAUAAUAAUGAUAAUGUAAGCAGAUUUCAGACUUCAGAGAAGGGGGAAAAAGAAAAAAAAAUAAAAAAAGGUCGUAAUGAUGAAACUGACGGCUAACAGUUACCUUUCCCGCACCAUGUUUCGGAUACACAAACACUUUCUAAAGUCAAACUUUCAUUUUGAAACUAUACAAUUGUUUUUUCUUUUUCCCUUUUUAAGGGUUGUAUAUCUAGGUUCCAGGCAUAGUAAUAAAAUUUGGAUCCAGCCCCCAUCCGUAAGGAUUCAGAAGAUAUGGAUUUGAAAAAUAAAAAUUUGUACGGAUCCGGAUGCACUUGCAUCUAGAAAAUUAGAAUUCGGAUCCGAAAAAAUUUUGUUUUAAAUUAAAAAAUAUAUAAUAUAUUUACUUUAAAAAAUAUAUAAUAUCUGCUGUACCGUACAUCCGCCUUGUAUAGUCUGUAACCCUAAGACAUAUCGCAUUCAACUUUCACCUUGCAUCGCUAAUGCCCAAAAUCGAAGUAGCUCACCACGCCGCUGUUGAUGCACGCGUCGCCGUCGUCCAAGCCUUGCCUGAUUGGAUCAUUCUUGCCGGUAAUUUGCUCUCUUGUUUCUAUUAAUUUUGUGUUCUUUCUAUUAAUUCCAUGGCUUUUUUCUAGUUAAUAAUUUGGUAUUGUGGGUGAUUAUUUGAUGAAGGAGUGGAAGAUCCUGAUGACUGACGAUAUAGUGGCAUGGUGUGUUGGAUUUGGAGUUUGGUAUUUCCAUCGAUUUGUAGUGUUUUUAUUUACGGAUUUUAAUAGUGGUGUACUUGAAUUUAUGUUAUUUUUUAUGUUUGAUUUAUAUUGUCAUAUUUUUAUUUGUGAAUUUAUGAUGUUGUUGUAUGAUCUUUAUGUUGAAUUGUUAUUUGUUGAAUUAUGAUUGAAUUUUUUUAUAUUACUACGUAAAUUUUUAAAAUUUUAAAUUAUAUAUUAAAUUAUUAAAUUAUAAUUUUGCAGAUCCGAAAAUCCAGAAUAUCCGCCUGUAUCCGUUGCAGAUUUUGCUGAUCCGAAUAUAUAAAUAUAAAUGCAUAUCAAAAUCCAGAUGCACCUACAUCCGGAUUCAGAUUUUGUCAACCCUAUUUAAGUUUUGUUAAGUUACAUAUAUGUAACUUAUAUUAAAUCUAAAAAUAGUCAUUUAUAAUUUUUCACUAGUUUCACAUAUACUAUCAUUUUCUUGUAUUGGAUAAUUAAUUUUGAGUUACUGUAAAUUAUAGAAUACAAAUGGACUUGAACCCAUUCACGAUUCAUGUAUACUUGAAGUAGUGGCGUGGGGAUGUGACGAUCAGAAUACACAAAGGGUGCGUUUGGUACAUGUAUUGUAUUAUGUUGUAUUGCAUUAUUUUAAUACUAGUGUAUUGUAUUAUGCUGUAUUGCAUUAGCACUGUAUUAUAAUAAAUUUUUAUUAAAUUAAAAAAUUAUAUUUAUUUAUUUAUUAAUUAUUUUAUUAUUAUUUUAUUAAUAAGCAAAAGCAAAAGUUAAAGCAAAGGAACCAAAAGUCAAAGCAAAAGCACGUAAAAACUGAAAACGUUAAAGGACAAAAAAAAAAACGUAAGCGGAGUUGCCGCGUUAGCUUAGUCGGGUUUAGCUAAUGCGGCAGUUUGCUGCAUUAGCUUGGCCCAAUAAUGUGGUGUUGCUGUAGCAUUUUAUCUACCAAACAUGGGCCUGUAUAAAUUUAAUGCAAUGAGGAGUUUUAAUACAUCAACCAAACACACCCAAAGUUCUAUAUGCAACCGAUGACCUCUAGCAAGUGUACGGGGCUGCAAAACUAGAAAUAAGGCAUUCAAAUUGCUGUUUAAGUGUAGUUUCACAAACAAGGUAAAAGAUUCAGUUGUAACUCCAUUCAAGUUCAGGCCUAUACCUGCAUUUUCAGACCAAUUUAGUCUUCAAAGAGAAAUGUUGUGUCAGCUUUUUGUUGCAGUUUGAGUUAUAAGUCAUAUCUCCUUUCUGACAGAGGGGCACAUAGAUAGAAGAAGAUGAGCAUGGAUGCGUCCUUUUGCAUGUGGGCGGAAAUCAGAAUAGCACGUGAUCUUACUGAUUCGAUCAAUCCAAUAUCGCUUUCUCAUCAAACAUUUGCAAUCCCUUUUUCAAUUUUUAAAAUAAUUUAUCCCACAUUCCAUUAUUUUUUGUAAUCUAUAACACGUAACUUUCUAUAUUUCAAUAAUGCACACAAGUCUCUCUGGUCAUCUUUUGUGAUGCUUUUUCAUUAUUUACCUCUGGUUGGUCCCGCUGUAUCGAUAGCUUGCCGAACAUUCUGUGUCGAGGCAACAUGCCUUGGGGCAUUGGUGCUUCUCUUUACGUGUUCAUUUUGCAGCAAUUGAGGCUUCUCUCUCACGCUUGCACUGACUAAGCACUAAGCAGUUAUUAGUUAAGGGAAUGCCUAAUCAAAUAAUGCUGCAUGUUCAAAAAAAAAAAAUGGCCCAAUCAUUAAAAGGAGAUUCUUAAAGAUAAUUCUCUCCCACAUCUAGUGGCCCAAUCAUUAAAAGGAGAUUCUUAACUGCAUGUUCAAAAAAAAAAAAUGGCCCAAUCAUUAAAAGGAGAUUCUUAAAGAUAAUUCUCUCCCACAUCUAGAUUCACACUUCCUCAUGUGAUGAUCUACACGAGUUGACAUUAUUUAUCUGAAGAGUGUACAGAUAAAUUAUUAAUGGUAGUGCUAAAUGUAGAGAACGCUGAGAGAAGACUGUGAGAAACAACUGUACAAGCUGAGCAAAAAGUUAGGCAUUACAUGUAAUGUUGUCCUUUUAAUUUUUUUUUAAAUAUUUUAACAUUAGCUAACCAUCACGAGGGGGAAAGAGCGAAACGGUAGCUUGUGCUGCCGUUUCUCUCGGCAUUCUCUCGCCCCUCGUGAUGGUUAGCAUUUUUCAAUUAUUAAUUGCUUUAGUUAAUUAAAAAUUCACGGGCUUGAGCUUUUGAUUGAUGAAAAAUUGCAUACUUCAACUACCAAGGUAAAGUUGAUGAAUUACUGUCUAACAAAUUACAUUGCUGCAGUGUAAGUCAUUAAUUUUUAUAAAAUACAACAAAGUGUGGUUAUAGAAUUACAAAUUUUUAUAAAAAUCUUUUUUACUAAUUGAUAUAGCAUAAAUUCACUAGUUGAGUGAAAAUACAAAAUAAUUAAAAUUAAUUAUGUGGGUUAAAAAAAAUUUAACCAAUCAAUUGAAUUAUAUCACAUUAGUUUGUACAAUUUAUAAUUUUAUCUUAACUCUUAAAAUAUUAAAAAGUAUUAAUAAGAAUAAGGCAAUUGCAGUGGUGAUCCGGGCUUCAAGUUGCCGGUUUCAUUUGAAUGGAUGGUAUCUGGUUACGGGGAUGAGGAUCAAGAGGUUCAUUGAGCUUGUCCACAUUUCUCGAUUGACGGGUUCCAUCACCAAGUACUGCAAAUGCAUGGGCUUUUAUUGACCAUUUUGUUACUUGCACUCAAGAAUAUUUUGCAUCAGCCCCAUAAAUUCGUUGUCUCUUUGCCUCAGUUUGUGGGCAUGUAAUGGGUUAAUAUAAAGCUUGUUCCAAUGUAGCGGGAGGUUAGUUCCAUUGAUUCACCUAGCGGCUAGCGGCAGAGCAAAACGUGGUUUUUUAUUUUUUAUUUUUUCCCUUACUAUGUGAUAUAUACCUAAUAAAUAAAGUAUAAUGAGGUUCACUUUCUAGUUAUUCGAUGCUCGUGUCAUGUGUUUGAAACUCGCCAUUAGUAUCAGCACUCUGAACCCGUGACCAGUCCUUGACCCUUUGGUCCGUAAGUAGGACCAGCUUUACUCGGAGUACUUAUUUCAUGUUUGUGUGGAUUUUUGCAUUUUUUUUAGAUUUUUUUAAAAUAAAAAGAGGGCUCUAAAAGAGAAGAGCUAGAGGGCACAAAAUGGGGGUAUGCCACCCCAUACAUAUCCGAAUACAAAAUAGAGCUUAAACCUAAAGGGACAGAAUGAAGAAAAUGCACUCCAACAAGCAAACUCAAAGCAUGCGUAGCAAGGAAAUCAGUCGUCGAAUUUGCUUCGCGAUAGAUGUGAUCAAUUUGAAUUCCCCAAUCCCUCCUCAUGAGUUCCCUAAUCAUCUCGAUUAUAUUCAAAAAUUUGUUGACAUUAGCAUUAUUCUCCUUUAUAAGAUGCACCACACUAUAAUUAUCUAUUCCAACUUGGAUACGUCUAUAGCCAAGGUCCCAUACCAUUCUUAACCCAUGCAAGACACCCCAAAGUUCAGCCUUUAUAACCGAACAUACUCCAAGAUUUGCGCUGAAAGACACCCCAAAGUUCAGCCUUUUCUUAACCCAUGCAAGACACCCCAAAGUUCAGCCUUUAUAACCGAACAUACUCCAAGAUUUGCGCUGAAACCAUGAAGAAAUUUACCAUGGCAGUCCCGCAACAGACCACCUGCAUUGUUUUUAGAAUUUUGAGAUGAAAGUAUAUCACUAUUCAUUAAUAUCUGUCACAUAGUUCUUCAAUUAGUAAUGUUAUAAGAUAUGCUGAAUGCUGGAUAACAAUUUUGGGGCACAUGCUACAUAGUAAAAUUUUGCAUUUACGUAUUGGGAAUUUUGGGUACACAUGAACAUAAUAAACAAUGUUUGAUUAUUUUCAUAUGUUGCUUUCUUUCUAGCACAAAUGGAAAAUAUGCGCUAUCUAUCUAUCACGUCAUCGGACUCUACCAAGUUAUCGUCAAAUAUCUACCCUCAAUAUAGACGAAAUCUCCAUCACUUACAAAUAGAUUUUUUAAUCUAUGUAUCUUAAUCUUACAAAUAAAUAUUUGCCAUAUAAAAUGAGUCCUCCCUGAAGACUUCAAUUUAAUUUCUUCCUAAUGGAUAGACGAAUCUUUAUCAAGAGUUCAAAUUGAAUACUGAUCUAAUUAAACCCGUCUUUUAAAAUUUUUGGAAUAUCUAUUUGGUCAUUUAACUCCUGAAACAAUGCGCAUAAACAUCCCCAUCCAAAUCGAAAUAAGAAGAAAGAUUUAAUUAAUGAAUUCUGUUAACCCUUAAUUGAUGAAUUAGUUAAUAAAGGCAAAGCGCUUGUUACUGUUAAGGCCGUAACUGUAAGAGGAUAUGGAUUCAAUAACUGUUGUAACGAAGCAGGACGUUAAACAGUGUCAGCUUUUGCUUUAUAAAUAAUGAGAGCUACAGACCUCUGCGCUCUUCACUGCGGCUUUGGUAGUUGGUUGGUCGGUUUGUUGGUUUGGUUUCUUUAUUCUGAGGAGCAGCCCCAAUCUUCAAAAAUGGCUCUCUCCCUUUCUCUUUUUACUCGCUUGGUCCUCCUUUGUUGGUUCACCACUUCCCUGCUUCUCUGCAAUGGCUUCCCUGCUGCUUUUCACCCGCACCACCACCAUCCCCACUUUGCUAAACACAACUACAGAGAUGCUCUCACCAAAUCAAUCAUCUUUUUUGAAGGCCAAAGGUCUGGAAAGCUCCCACCUAACCAGAGGAUGACUUGGAGGAGGGACUCUGGUCUCACUGAUGGAGCAGCCAUGCAUGUACGUUUAUACCAAACUCUUUUUUUUUUUUUUUUGUUAAUCUUGUGCGUUUUGCUGAUGUGAGUAUCAAAAAUGGAAAUGCAGGUUGAUUUGGUUGGUGGGUACUACGAUGCAGGGGACAAUGUGAAGUUUGGGUUUCCCAUGGCUUUCACAACCACCAUGCUUUCAUGGAGUGUCAUUGAGUUUGGCGGGUUGAUGAAAGGUGAGCUGCGGAAUGCCAGAGAGGCCAUUCGUUGGGCUACUGAUUAUCUCCUUAAAGCUACCGUACACCCAGACACCAUCUAUGUUCAGGUCUCUUUUUAGAAUACAGAAUGUUCCCUAUAAACUUUAGAUGAGGACUAAAACAAAGAGAUUGAUUUUUUUGGGUUUUACAUUUUGUGUAGGUGGGUGAUGCUAACAAGGACCAUGCUUGUUGGGAGAGACCUGAAGAUAUGGAUACUCCAAGAACUGUCAUCAAAAUAGACAGGAACUAUCCUGGUUCUGAUGUGGCUGGGGAAACUGCUGCUGCUUUAGCCGCUGCUUCUUUGGUCUUCAGGAGAAGUGACCCAACCUACUCCAAGCUUUUGGUCAGGAGAGCUAUCAGGGUAAAACUUCUAACAGAGCUAUAACUGGAUUACUAUAUUAAACUAAGGGCAUUUCCUUGUUAUCCAAUUUAUUCGAAUACAAAAGCUGAGAUUAAUUUUACCCUUUUAUUUAUAAUAUAAUGCACAGGUUUUUCAGUUUGCUGACAAGUACAGAGGAGCCUACAGCAAUGGGUUGAAGAAAUUUGUCUGCCCAUUCUACUGCUCAUAUUCCGGUUAUCAGGUAAUACAAUUGAAACUUUCCCUUCUACUUUCAAGUGUCAUUGUUGUUUAGGUUGAGAAAGUUCAACAUAUAUUUUCUUUUCUUGUGUUAACGAUCGAAGGAUGAGCUGUUGUGGGGCGCUGCUUGGCUGCACAAGGCCACCAGAAACCCAACCUACCUCAACUACAUUCAAGUUAAUGGACAGAUUCUAGGAGCUGCAGAGUAUGAUAACACAUUUGGAUGGGAUAACAAACAUGUUGGAGCUAGGAUUCUUCUCUCUAAGGUCUCACAAUCCAACAAUAACGUCCUGAUUUAUUGACUAAUUGUUGAUCGAAAUGGAACGGCUCUUAGUGUUGAUUUUUUAUCCUGCAUUUUCAGGCAUUUUUGGUCCAAAAGUUACAGUCCCUCCAUGAGUACAAGGACCAUGCAGAUAAUUUCAUUUGUUCUCUAAUUCCGGGGGCCUCUUUCUCUUCCGCCCAGUACACCCCAGGUUUCCCCGGUGUUCUUCACUCUGUUGUUCUCACUGCAAAUGCCAAAAUAUGUAGUUUCUUCUGUAACGGCUAAUUUUGUUUGUACAUAUUAAUUGAUGCAACAGGUGGGCUUCUGUUCAAAAUGAGUGAUAGCAACAUGCAAUAUGUCACCUCCACUUCAUUCUUGCUCUUAACAUAUGCCAAGUAUUUAACCUCUGCCCAUAGAGUUGUUAACUGUGGUGGUACCACUGUUACCGCAAAGAGGCUUCGGACAAUUGCCAAGAGACAGGUCAAAAUUUUGAUAAUUUAUCUUAAUUUUUUGCAACCCAUUUUCUUGUUUUCAAGUUAAACUAAUUUUUACUCUGAUUUUGUGCAUUACCAGGUGGACUAUAUUUUGGGGGACAACCCAUUGAAGAUGUCCUACAUGGUGGGAUAUGGUCCAAGGUACCCACAAAGGAUACACCACAGGGGAUCAUCACUGCCGUCCGUGGGUGCACAUCCAGCCAGGAUUCAAUGCUCCUCUGGCUUCAGUAUCAUGAAAUCUCAAUCUCCCAACCCCAACGUUCUGGUAGGUGCAAUUGUUGGUGGGCCAGAUCAGCACGAUAGGUUCCCGGAUGAACGGCCAGAUUACGAGCAAUCAGAGCCAUCCACUUACAUGAACGCACCCCUAGUUGGAGCUUUAGCAUAUCUCGCACACUCAUUUGGCCAGCUUUAACUCGUAGUUACUAGAUACAGGAGCUCGUUUAUCUUUUAUAUUUUUGUCGUUUUUAAUGUUAAAAAGAGUGUUAGAAUUCCAGGAAGUGCAUGAGGUGAUUGGGGAUAGGGUUGUGUCGAAGCCUAAAGCUCGAGUCCCAAGCCUUGAAGCACAGUGGUCAAGGAGAGAUAAGUGAUCCCAUUGGCGUAUUGUUAUUAUUAGUUAUAUUAUGUAGGUAGCCUGUGGCGUGAGUGCAAGUUUCGUGCCAAGAACGGUGUUUCUAUAGUAAGACCAUCAGAGAGCUCCAAUAGAAUAGCUUGUGAUUGUAAUAUAGCAUGUUAAAGUCUGGGACUUGUAAUGUGUCUACUAGUGCCUUCAGUUGCAAGAAUUUUUCAAGAUUUCAAUCUCUCUCUCUGCUUUUUCCGUUUAUGCGUGUUUGUAAGCAAGUGGAAUUUAAUCAAUAGAAAGGGAUUAAGGUACCACAGAAGCUGAUAUUUAUUUAAAUAUUAUUAAAUUUUGUCAUAUUAGACAUAUUUUAUGGAUCUUGAAACUAACAAAAAGAAGAUAUAAAACAACUAGAUGGAUAUUUGAUAACAAAUUAACAAUAACUAAAUAGUCAGUGGAUAAUGUUUUAAACUUGUUAAUGAAUAUUUUACCUUUGAUGGGCAGUGUAAUUUGACUGUUCAAAAUGGAGGGAAAGGAAAGGAAGGAGAGAGAAGGAGAUGAAACAAACAAAGAAAAGAAGAAUGAGUCAGCCAUGCCCAUGUGAUGCUUUUUGAAGGUUGUGAGAGUGUGAGAUGGUCAAAAAAGCUGUGGUUUUACAGAUUUUUUUUUUUCAGUGUGUCAGAACUGAACUUCGCUUUUGAGACAGUGAAAUAAGAGAGCCCAAAGCCAUGAGUGACUGGAUAUAUACGACAUAUAACAUACGUUGCUCAACGGGAAGGAAAAAUGAAAAUGCAAAUCCCCUAAAUCCCAAUGGCUCAGCAGCGAACCACCUGACCUCAAUUUUGUUAGAGAGUAGUGACAUUUGGCUUUAAAAUUAUCUCAUUAAUCCACACUUUUUAAUCAAAUCCAUCUAUUUUAAAUUAUCCUUAUUACAAAAUUAAAAAAAAAAAAUUAAUACACUCUCUUUCUAUCACCACCAUCAUCACCGAUAACUUGUUUUCAUCACAACCAAAUCCAUCAUAUCAUCAAUCACCAAAUAUGGAAGAGUUGUAAUUAAUUUUAAAUUUAAAAAAAAUUGAUUAAUUACUUGUUUUUUAUUGCAUAGUUCCGUUGCCUAUGAAAAAAAUCUUAUUAUUUUACAACUAACAUUCUUUUCCCACUAUCCAGUAUUAGCAAGAGGCAGGAAACUUUAGGCCUAUGGGUGAAAAAUAGUAACCUUGACGAAGAAAUAUUAAAUUCACGAAAUAUUUUCUCGCUCCUCACCAUCUCCAUAACUCCAUUCAAAUUCAAAAACUCCUUAUCCUCCUCAUCUUCUACCAAAUAAUCACUUUUCAAAAACAAAUCGAUUCGUCCCAGGGUUCUCAUAUGUUCACGGUUCAAGUUACUUGGAAUCUCUGGCUGUGUUCUCAGUUUUGUUAUGUUAUAGAGUAGACAAGGAAAUAAAAGAAAUAUAAAAUAAUAUAUUAUUAUUCUCUUCUUUUUAGGAGGGUAAUUUUGAAAAUAAGUCGGGUUUAAUGUUAAUUAAAAAGUGGGGAUUGUUGAAAUAAUUUUAAAAGGUCAAAUAUUUAUAAACUCAAUUACUUCAUGUCCCUACACUUCUAUUUUUUUUUUUUUUUUUUUAAUGAGAUCUUCUAUAGAGGUACUCACGAGUCACGACCUAAAUAAGACUUUGCUUCCUGGUACCUAAGUAAUUUUCAGUUGCUUUUACAACACUUCCUUCUUGUAUCAUUAAAACAACUCCAGCGUUACUUGAUUCCAAAUUCAAUGUAAUGCUUGUUAUACACUCUUCAAAUUAUACUAAUUCACUUGCCAUUAUUUCAUCAAGACUACUCUUUUGUUAAAAGUUUAAAUUUUAAAGAUAUCUAUAAGUGUCAUAAUAUAGUAAAAUCUCUCUAUAGUGAUACUCUAUAUAGGAAUAAUUUGCAUUUAGUCAAAAAAAUUUAGUCUCAAUUUGGGCUAAUUAUAAAUAAGAAUAAACUUUACACUGUUAUAAGUUAAAAUUUUAAUCUCAAUCGAUGUAGGCCGGCCUAUAGGGCUGCAAGCAUGAGUCGGUCGAUUCAGGAUUUUUUUGCCAACCCGAUCAGCCUAUAAAUAAAAGGCAAACAAAGUUUAGAAAGGAACUUUUGACCAUUUUCUAACUAGAGAUGGCAAAACCCCGGGCCGGGUCCGGGUAUUGCCAUGACCGGACCCUGCCCGGAUGCAACCGGUCCGGGUCCGAGUCCGGGUCCGGGCCGGGUUUUAAUCCGGGUACCCGAAUUUUAUAUUUUUUAAUAUUUUAUGUGUAUAUAUUUUUUAUUUUUUGGUAAUUUUAUAAGUUUUAAAUUUAUACGGUCCGGGUCCAGACCGGGCGGGUAUUUUUACCACCUCUAUUUCUAACCAAAUUAAGAGAAAACUAAAAUAUUUUGUCGGGAUUUACUAAAAAUUGUCUAAAUGCAAACUAACGAUAGCGUAAGAGUCCCGUCCGCAGGGACACGCUCAUGCAUUGCUUGUGCCUGGAAAAGUGUCAAAAGGCAAGGAAAGUUCGUAUCUAUAUUCUAACUCUCUCUAGUAAAUUAUCAAUUCUAAGACUAUCGAAGAGUAUUUCACACCUUCAAUUAAUGGAGUUGAGGUGGAAUUAGAGUUGACUUUCAAUCAUUAUUCAACGGAAAAAGAAAUUAGAGAGACAAAGAGACAUUCCCCAAUCUCCACAUAUAAAAACAUCCUAUUAAUUAAUUAAUUAAAAAUGUCCUAUAAACUCGGUUAUUGUGAUCUCCCCAGAAGACUCAAUAAGUGACCCCAGGCCCCGCAUGGAGCUGCUCUGCUAUUUAAUAAUCUCUUUGUGUGUUUUGCAGCUAACAAGCCAAGCCUUCGAGACUAUUUAAAUAUUUAAUACUUCAAUGAACUAUUACUAAACGCUGUUCCAAAACUACAUAUUAUAUCAAACUUUGGGAAAAGAAAUAAAAAACCAAUAUGCAAGCUAGCUUACUGUUUACGCAUACGGCUCAAUAAAUAAGUGCUAAAAUAUAUUAUUUUGGGAGGUGGAUGGUUAAAAAAUUAAUUUGGAUUUUAUCCGUUCUUUUACCUUUAAAAAAAAAAAUUCUAUUCUUUCCAUCUUUUUAGAAUAUAUAUCAUUACGACAAGCUAGGACUUGGAUCUACUUUAACAUGGUGUUUUUAUUCAAAUAAUUAUUUUUAAUUAGACUUAUUUUUUAAAGAAAUCCUUUAUUUAAGAUCCUUUAGUUAAGCCCCGUUUGGGACAGCUGCCUCAAAUCUAUAAAUUAAAGGUUUGGCACCGCAGCUGCCCAAACGGGCCUUAGUUGAAAAUUGCAGGGGUAAAAUAAGAAUCAGGCACUGAUUUAUUUAUUGUUGAUUGGGAAUUCGAUCUCAUAGAUUAUAUGCCUAAAACAUCAGCAAAGACUUAUAUGAUUUAUUUUUUUUAAAAAAAAACUUAUUUACUUACUUAUGUGAUAAAUAAAUUAGUAAAGAAAAAAAAUCUCUGCAAAGCUUUUUCAAAUAAAAUAAAUUUAUAUUAUUUUAAUCAAAUUCUUCUCUCAUCAAAUUUAAUUAUCCUCCAAUUUUUUUGGUAAUGUGGUCAUAAUACUUCUCUCUCUUCAAUAAAUAAUGACAAAAAAUACUAUAAUAUUUUUAAUAAAAGAGAAAACCACUUUUUAAUAUUGAAAAGAAAGAAUAAUAAUCUUAUUUGAAAAUUUAAAGAACCUUUUAGAACUCUUAGGGUUAGUUUAAAAUUACUUUUGAGAGAGUCAAAAGUAAAUUUUAAAAGUUAAAAACUAAUUGUAUGCGUAUGAUAAAUUUUUUUGAAAAUUACUUUUGACACAUCACCUUAUUCUACAGUAUAAUUUUUUAAAAAAAUAGAGAAUGAAUGACUUUUCAAAAUUUGAUUUUGAGUAAAAAUUCAAAAUUAUGUUUAUUAUUAUUAUCAGAUAAAAAAAUAAAAUUAUAAUAUAAAAUAUUUAUUUUAAUUAUUAAUUAUUAUAUAUAUCUGCUGUACCGUACAUCCGCCUUGGCCGUACAGCAGUUUGGAUGACUUUUCAAAAUUUGAUUUUGAGUAAAAAUUCAAAAUUAUGUUUAUUAUUAUUAUCAGAUAAAAAAAUAAAAUUAUAAUAUAAAAUAUUUAUUUUAAUUACUAAUUAUUAUAUAUAUGUAAUAAAAAAUAUUUUAUAAACAUAUUUAUAAAUAUAUAAAUAAAUUUUAUUUAACAUUACAUUUCACCCAGUAAUUUACAUUCUUAUAGUAAUUUAAUAAUUAAAUUUAUCAAACACAUAUAAUUGUUUUCAAAAUUCGCCACACUUUUAAACCUAAAUUUGACCAAACAUUUAAGUGAUUCUCUUGACAAUUAAUUACUUUUAUAACUAACAAUAAUUAUUUUAAGAAAUACCAUAUUAAUAAAUUGGCCUUUACUGCUAUUUGCAAUUACAAAUCUAUUGGGGUAAAUUGAAAGAGGAAUUCGAGUCCCUUCAAGCCCGGCAUAAUAUAAAGUAAAUGUCCAGCUACCAAGAAAACAUAAUAAUAUUAAAAUGUCUUAGCAAUCAAAUUUUAACGACAGCCACGAUUGUGAACACUGUCGAGAAUAGCACAGGAAGAUUUAAGUGUCGAGAGGCUCGAAUAUCCUUUUAACCAUACAACAUAAAGCAUUACAUAUACAUACAAAAAGUACUCUUUAUUUUUGCACUAUAGUUACGGGAGGUAGCUGGGUAAUUAUUAGCAGUUCCUUGAAUACCAGCAGCUUAAUGUUGGUUCUCACUUGCCAAAGGAACAGACUUCACCUGAAAUAAUGCAAGCACAUUGAAAUUCGAUGCAGAAGAUGUAGAAUCUGAAGUAGGAUUAAACAAUGAUGCCGCUAAUAAAUGAAAACUGCUAUGGCACACCACUCUUUUAACUCCUCAGAUACGAUUGAAUUUCAUUACUCAAAAAGGUUUUAAGGAGUUGUAGCAACGUGAAAAACAAGAGUGCAACUGUAAAUCGAGAAAUCUCAAUCGACAAUAGUAACUAUUAUAAAUGAUUUGAAGUACUCACCAAAUCACGGAACUUUAGAAUGUAGAACAUCUCAAGGUACCUCCGGGUCUCACGCCUCUCAAGUUUUGAAACAUACUUCCAGAAACCAUAUACCCCAGCCAAUGUCAUUAGCCUUUCAGAAUAAAUCUUCCAGGUGUACCUACAAAUUAUGAUUCUGUGUCGGCAUGGAAAUCACAUUGAUAACAAAUGGUGAAGGAUCCACAAUUCCAUCACUAGAUACUACUAACCUUUCAUAAAUCCUUUUAAGCCCUCCAUCAGAGAUUUUUUUCCAAUGGCUUGGAUUUUCCUUGCACUUUCCAAAGAAAUCUGCCAUGAGUUCAGCAGCUUGAUCAGGGUGAUAUGGAUCAAUAUGGAACCCUGACGCACCAUGCUCGAUAAUCUCUGCAGGACCACCAUGGCAAGUGGCGAAUGUCGGAAGUCCACAAGUCAUAGCUUCCACAACUGUUAAUCCAAAAGCUUCAUAAAAAGCAGGCUGCCAUAAAAUUAAAAAAGAAAAGAAAAAGGAAAAAAGAGAGUUGAGGGUUAAGUUAUCAUAACACCUUACUAUACUUUGUAAGAAGGUAAAAAGUUCAGUGGUAUCGGGUGCACAUAUACCUGCACAAAAGCACCUUUGGUGUCGGCUAUAUAGCGAUAGAGCUCGCCAUUACGUGCCCUAUUUGUUUGAGCUGCUAUCCAACGAAACUGACCAUCCAACUUGUACGUCUUCAUAAGCUCAUGCAUCUUCUCAAUUUCUGCUAUCUCUUCUCUGUCUUUGGACUUAUUUACAUCUAUGUAACCAGCUACCACUACAAGGUUAACCAGUUCCCUCAGUUGGCUAUUCUUACCAUAGCACUCAACCAACCCUGUCAUGUUUUUCACAUGGUCAAGCCUCGCCAUGGAAAAGACAAUGGGCUUCGACCGAUCACUCAAUGUACCACUGCAGAUAUGAGGAAGCAGAUUAUAAAAGAGGAGCUCCUUUGAAGAAUCUAACUUAAAUGCAAAAUUUUCUCUUGAAAAACAGUUUCUAGCAGUCAAUGACUUUAAUGGGAAUACAUCUAUUUGUUCUUGCAUUUGAUCCUCCAAAUGGCAACCUUACAAUAUUCUAUAAUAUAUGCUUGUAGAACAAUAGCAUCACUUGAAAUAACAUGAACAGAAUUCUUACCAACAAAACCUAUAACUAUUUGAAUGAUGUAUAGAGUAAAAACUGUAUUAAGGUUGAGAAAAAUUAUAGAGUUAGUAAGGGACUCACACA
rnacentral:lncRNA from 1 species